rnacentral:lncRNA from 1 species
GAUCACAAAUAGCUAGCAUAAAUUCAUUCCAUAAUAAUAUUGUAAGUUGUAACCACACUCAUGAAGCAUCACCUUUUAUUUGUUCUAAUAAUAUACAAAAGGGCCACACGGUGAUACAUGACAAGUAAAGGCAUAAAGGUAUAUUGGGGGAAUUAUAAUUACUAAACUUUUCAGUAGCUCAAAUCCUAUGAUUUGAUUUUGCCCUAGUGCUUCAAAAUCACCCACAGAAAUUUAAGGAUCACAUGCAUAUACUCAUAAGCUCCAAGCUCCUGGCGCAUAUACCAAAUUAAUCAGGGGUGGGGGCCAUGGUGGGGAGGGUGCCCAUGUGGCCCAGGAGGAGGUGCAUGGGCAUGAGGACCAGGCGGUGGUGCAUGAGCAUGAGGACCAGGCGGUGGUGCUGCUGGACCAGGAGGUGAAGGAGAUGGAUGAGCAUGUGGUGGCGGAGAAGGUCCGGGAUGCGGUGGACCCGGGUGGUGGUGAGGGCCUGGGCCUCCUGGUCCUGGUGGUGGUGGAUUAGGCAUAUGUUCCUCAACUGAUGAAUUUGUGGAGGAGAUGAAUUAGUGACAAUGGGUUUAAACAAUUGAAACCACUGCUUUGAUUAAUAUAGGGGAUCAUAGAAAGAAAGAGCCCUUAUCUUAUCUUCAGCAAUCCAUCAGUCAAUGCCCAAUUUUACUUUCUGUUAGGCAACUAACAUUCUUCAAUUUGUGUAGGUGAGAGUGGAAAAUCCUGUAAUUUUAUUAAAAUGGCGAAUGAAAGUUCUACCCUGCUUACUAUUUACUGCGUGUGAUGAUGCAAAUUUAUAAAGCCAUCUAGAAGCUAGUGCUUAAUUUUCAAUGUGUGCAUAAUAUAUUUUUGGUCUAAGGAAAAAAAUUAUACAUUGAGAAAUAUGACAUGACAUGACUUUUUAGUGUACUGAAAAGAUAAAUUUACAUCUAGAUUUAGUCGAUCACCUUCUGACAUAUUAUUUUAUAAUAGUUUUUAAUUAUCAUUAACAUUUAUAGCAGUUAAAAACUAUCACUAAAAUGUAUGGUUGUAAUGUGUUGAGAAAAAAUCAUAUGUCGAUGUAUCACCGCUCUUUAUUAUAUAUAACCCCAAUUACCUUUGGCCCAAAUAUGUUUGGUUUUGACGAAAACGAAAUGAAUGAAUGGAGAAGAAUAGAAAAUAAUACUGAUAUUAAUGUAUUUAGAAACACAAAAGCAUUCAUCCAUGAAUCUUAACCCAAUCCACUGAAUGGCUCUCCUAGGGUUAGGGAGGCGGCCGCCAAACAAGGUUUUGUUUAUCCAAGGUUGAUCACCACGUUUUACUUCUCUCUUUUGACUAAACGCUGACCCUGUCUGGUGAACCAUAUUCUUUUCUGCGUCUAUUGCAUGCAACAGAGGUUUUUUCUGCUAUCAAGACUGUACGAAGGCCGAUCAUGGCGUUUAAUGGUGAUGUUCCGAUUCUGAACUGGGAAGAGGAGGAGAAUGUCGUUCUUGACCUAGGUGAGGCUGAGGUUGACCCGCAGCUCGGUGCGAAUGUCUGGCUCGUUGGGAAGGUGUUGUCCCCGAACAAGGUUACGACACCUAUUUUUAGAAGCGUCAUGCUUAGGCUCUGGGAGACAAGGAACGUGAAGGAGAUACGACAUGUUGGCCCUAAUCUUUUUGCUUUUGAGUUUGGCAAAACAAAAGACAGAGAUUUGUUUCUGCGAUCUGGUCCGUGGCUCUUUGAUCGUCACCUGGUGGUGCUGGAUGUUUUUGACAUCACCAAGGAUCCCAUGCAAGUGCCCUUGACCAAAGUUCCUCUCUGGGUACAGGUUCAUGGGCUCCCGUACACGAUGAGAUCAGAACGGAUAGCGAAGAGUUUGGGGGAAUCUUUCGCCGGCUACCUGGGUUGGGACAAAUAUGAGGCACACAGGUAUGGGUACUGCUUGCGGAUUAGAGCUUGGGUGGAUGUGACUACGCCGCUGCGGCGAGGUCAACUCGUAGCAACUAGAGGAGAAGCCCCCCUAAGGGUAACGUUUAAAUAUGAAAAGAUAGUCAAUAUUUGUUACCGUUGUGGGAAACUAGACCACGUUCUCCGAAACUGUGCGGUGGAGGGGAAUGGUGGUGCUCUCCGUUUUGGUGCUUGGAUGAGAGCUGAGGAUGAUCACCCUGUUGGAGGUUACCGUGGGGGAGAAAAUAAAGGAUACAUACAGCCCAAUGAGGAUGGAAAGGAACCCUAUGAGGAAGAUGGAGAUUAUGUUGAGGAGGAGGAACUGGAACCUGAAUCAGAUUUGGUGCAAAAUUGUGACGGAGGGAACAAAAAUUUGAACGAACACGAGGAGGGAGAAAACUGUGAGCUUGCUGCCACUUAUAGUAAGGAGGACACAGUUUACUUGCAAAAAAACACAUGUAGGUGGUGAAGGUAAACAAAAGGAGACCAAGCAGCACUUAGAUGGAAAAGUUUUUAAUUUUGGGGCCCAAAAAUCACGUGGCUUCCAGACCAAAAUGGGGCCAGUGGCAAGGGAUAUGAGAAGAGGCAGAAACAUGGGAAUUAAUAGAAGGGAAAGUGGUGAUGGAUUUGAAAAUCAUGGCUUACCAAGAAAGCGGGCAGGUGGACCAUCUUCUACAUUUGCUCAGCAGCGCACGGGGUUCUCUCCCCCACUGAAGAAGAUAAAUAAUUCUGAUGGAUUGGGGAUGGCGGGCACUGCUGAGCAGUCCCGCCCACCUCAAUGAGGAUUUUAGCUUGGAACUGUCGGGGGUUGGGGAGCAUCCUGGCAGUUCGAGCCCUUGGUAGGCUCAUUCAGUCUGAAGCUCCCGGCAUAGUGUUCGCGAUGGAGACAAAAUGGUACGAGUAUGAGGCACAACGUCAUAGAGGCUUGGGAGGCCUUCCAAAUGUCUUUCCGGUUCAAUGUGCAGGCCAAGGACAUUCGCGAGCAGGAGGUUUAUGUUUGUUUUGGGGUCCAGCAGUGGACGUUACCAUUAUUUCAAGUUCUUUGAAUCAUAUUUAUUUUACUGCUACUCAUGUGGAGGAGCAGAAGGUCAUGCAGAUUUUGGGGAUUUAUGGCUUCCCCGAUGAGAGGAGGAGAGUUGAUACUUGGGGUCUGGUUAAGAGACUGUUGGUUGACACUGCUAUCCCUGCGCUCUGUGUAGGGGAAUUCAAUGAUUGUCUUUCUCCGCAGGAUAAGUUGGGAGGAGACCCCCUUGAUCUUCAGCAUAUACAGAGGAUGGCUAAAGUCAGAACCGAAUGCAAUUUGCAGGAGGUGGAUUUUACAGGAUACAGGUAUACAUGGUCUAAUAAUAGGGCACCAGAUACAAUCGAGGAGAGGCUAGAUUAUGCGCUUACAAAUGACGCCUGGGAUGAAUUGUGGCCUUCAACGGUGGUUCACCAUUUACCCAGGUAUAAAUCUGAUCAUAAUCCUAUUUUACUAACUUGUGGUGUUCGCAGGAAUAGAGAAGAGAUAGGCCGAGCAAAAAUUUUCCGAUUUGAGGAGAUGUGGCUCCAAGAAGGACAAGAGUGUGCUGAGAUAGUGACAGAGACUUGGUGUAGACUGCGAAAUGACCUCCCCACCAAAAUAGCUGAGGUGGGAGGGGCCCUAAAGUGUUGGGGAAAAGACAAGUUUGGUGAUAUUCCCAGGAAGAUUUCUGAUCAGAAAGCCCUAUUGCAAGACUUGCAAAGAAAGGAUCAAACAACGGAGGUGCUGAGUGCCGCGUCAGUGGUUGAAAAAGAGCUUGAUAGUUUGCUGGAACAAGAGGAAAAGUGGUGGCGCCAACGUUCUAGAGCCACCUAGUUAAAGUGCGGAGAUAAGAAUACCAGUUUUUUCCAUAAAAAAGCAACUCAGCGGCGAAAGAGGAAUAUGAUAGAGAAAAUAGAGGAUGAUGGAGGAUGUGAAUAUGUCCAUGAUCGUGACAUUGCAAGAGUUUUAAAAAAUUAUUUUAUGAACUUGUUCUCUACUUCUAACCCUGACAGGAUUGAGGAGACCACAUCUUUGGUAGCAAACAGGCUGUCAGACUCUCAUUUGUAGGUUCUUGCUGAUCCUUUUACAAAGGAAGAUGUAGAAGAGGCCUUGUUCCAAAUGCAUCCGACCAAAGCUCCGGGAGCGGAUGGCUUCCCGGCGCUUUUCUACCAGCGGUUUUGGGAUGUCAUUGGGGACGAUGUAGCAGAGUUCUAUUUGCAGAUUUUGCAUGGGCUUGUGUCGCCAGGUAUUAUCAAUCAUACGAUGAUUGUUCUCAUUCCUAAGGUUAAGAAAGCUGUUAAUGCGACCCAGUUUAGGCCUAUUAGUUUGUGUAUUGUUCUGUUUAAUAUUGUGACUAAGGUGAUAGCAAAUAGGCUGAAAAAUAUUUUACCUGAUUUAAUUUGCGAAUCCCAAAGUGCAUUUGUACCAGGACGUAUGAUCACAGAUAAUGCUCUCAUUUCUUAUGAGUGUUUUCACUUUAUGAAGAAAAGAACUAAUGGCCGGAAUGGCACGAUGGCGCUGAAAUUGGAUAUGUCCAAAGCGUACGACCGGAUCGAAUGGUCUUUUUUGAGUUUUUUAAUGACAUCUAUGGGUUUUCCACAUAAUUGGGUGAAUUUAAUUAUGAGUUGUGUAUCAACGAUAUCUUUUUCCAUUAUGUUGAACGGUAACCCGUAGGAAAAUUUUGUCCCUAAUAGAGGUUUAAGACAAGGGGAUCCGCUUUCUCCUUAUCUUUUUAUCUUGUGUGGGGAGAUGUUUUCUGCUUUGAUUAAUAGAUCCAUUGCUUCAAAAGCACUUUCUGGAAUUAAAAUAGCGAGGAAUGCUCCUGUUAUUUCACAUUUGCUUUUUGCAGAUGAUAGUAUCCUCUUUGGUAGAGCACCAGUACAGGAGGCGGAAUGCCUAAAAGAGAUUUUAGUGACUUAUGAACGUGCUUCCGGGCAAGUAGUCAACCUUGACAAGUCAAUGCUCUCAGUGAGCCGAAACGUGCAGCAAACCAGUUUUGAUGAGCUUAAGCAUCUAUUGGGAGUAAAGGUCGUAGAGAGCUAUGACAAGUACUUGGGGCUACCAACAAUUAUUGGUAAGUCAAAACGACAAAUUUUCAAUUUUGUUAAGGCAAGAGUGUGGAAAAAGUUAAAAGGUUGGAAGGAAAAUUUUCUUUCACGAGCCGGGAGGGAAGUUUUAAUUAAAUCAGUGGCGCAAGCCAUUCCCUCUUAUGUUAUGUCCUGUUUUCUUUUACCUGACGGCCUGUGUGCAGAUAUUAAUAGCAUGAUCUCCAACUUCUUUUGGGGAGGAGAUGUAUCUCAGAAGGGGAUGCAUUGGACAAAGUGGAACAAGUUGUGCAAAAACAAAUUGGAGGGUGGUCUUGGAUUCCGGGACUUCAAGGCUUUUAAUAUAGCUCUGGUGGCGAAAAAUUGGUGGAGAAUCUAUUCCAAUCCAGAAGCAUUAGUUGCUCAAGUUUUUAAAGGUGUUUAUUUCCAGAGUGGUGAUAUGUGGGGAGCAAAAAAAGGCUAUCGACCGAGCUAUGCAUGGUCAAGCAUUCAUAAAUCGGCUUGGGUUUUUCAGAGAGGUGGUUUAUGGCGUAUUGGUAAUGGUAAGAGAAUUAAUCUGUGGACAGACAAUUGGUUGCCCGGAGGGGCACCCACUCUUUUCCGGCAGGAUGUAGUCGAGGAGCUUAAUAUACAGGUGGUCAGUAAUUUACUUGAGCCAGACACUUCCAGAUGGCACUCAGAAUUAGUGGAGCAUAUCUUUCACCCAGGGACAGCUAGGCGCAUCAUGGGAGUGCCCCUUGCUACUCAAGCACGGGAUGAUUUUCUUUGCUGGCCUUUCACCAUGGAUGGGAGGUACUCUGUUAAGACUGGUUACCAUUUUGUUUGUACUGCUUGGGAGGGUGAUGUUGUAAGACCCAAGUUUUUAAGUUUAGAAUAAGUGAAUAAAAUCCUAUUCACGAUUAGGGUUGAUGUAUCGUUAAGGGAAAACCUGGACAAAAGUUUACUAAAUGAAAUAAAUUUAUGAAGGAGAAAGUUCAGGAAAAGUCUAAGGAGUGUAUCGAAGUCGAUAAAAGUUAUAGCACGACUAAUAUACGCUUAAACCUAGGGCAAAAACGCUAGUAAAUAGCUAAUUUACACUUUAAGACACGAUGGAAACUAAUUCCAAAAAUCUUCAGAGAAAUGUUAGAACUUCUCUUAUUCGUCUAUAGACAAGCAUUUCGAUACGAAACCCUGGAAUGUACGAACGUCAAAUUCCAAUACUCGGAAGUUUGCCGAAACCAAAACCCUGAUAGUUCAAGAAACCUAAAAUCAACGGACGAUGAAGACUUUUUCUAUUCGGAGCUUCAAAUGAAGAUUCCACACGCGUACACCCAUUUCUCUUGAUGUUUUCAAUCUUUCUUCAGAAGGAAGUUUUCUCUUCCGACAUCCACUGCAAAAAGUAACUUAUCGGGUAAAAUAGAUUUACACCGACUUUGCAUUAUGCACCUAAAAUCCAAGGAACCUCUUUUGAGUUUUGGAAUUCUGUCGCCAAAACCUAUCUUAGAAUUCACGGAGAAUGAAGCCGGAAAAAUCGGAAUCGCGAAACUUUCAUUUUCCCGCGUUUUUCCAUCCUCUAUAUAUAGCAAGAAAAUGAGAAAAAUGGCAAAACUUCACCAUUUUCUCUCCCAAAACCCGCGAGCUUCACCAAGAGGAGGAGGAGAAGAGAUUUUCGCCAUUUCUUGCUUGAUCGUUGAUUCAACAGUUGCUACUUGAAGGUAUCGAGGUAUAGUCGCUAAUCCUUACCUCUGAUCGUCGUUUCCGUAGCUUUUCACUAUGUCUUUCUGUGCUCUUAGUUUUGAGGUUUUUGCAAAACUAUCCAGAUAACUUCAUUUUUCUAUCUAAACAUCUUCCCUACGUGCCCAAGAGCAUGUUUAGCGAAUAAUAUUACGCCGAUUCUCGAAAAACUAUCGUCGAGUUUCAAUUCUGCUUCAAAUACCCAUUUUGGGACAAAGUUUCGUCCUUUGGGCUGAAAACUAUCGCCUUAGCUUAGUGCUAGUAGGAUUAGUCGUCAUAAACGUCGUUGGUGACGUCCCCAUCCAAUUUGCUUUUCGAAAUUUCAGUUUUGAAAUUCUGAGCUAAAAAUAUUGACCAAAAUACCCCUGCGACAGUUUUCGAUCCGAUUCCGAGUUUAGAUUAACCUUAGUUACGACUAAUAAUAACCUAGGAACCAAGUUUGAUCGAAGAAAAAUCGACACACACAAUUACCAUGUGUGGCCGUGAGCACCCUAGGAGGAGGAAGAAAAUUCUUUUUUCGAAAACUUGUUCUUUCGCGCUAGAUUAUCGUACCUCGGAGUAUAUGCUACUUCGAGUAACCCUAGUAUUUAUUGUUUGCUGAGUUUCUGACUCAUUGUGAUUGAUUUCUGUGGUUUUGCUCUAAAGGUUCUUUUGAGGAAUUUCCUGAAGAGCAAGGAGUUGAUUGUGUAGGAACGUUCGAAGAGAACCCUGGAGAAUCUACAGGUGAGGGCUUCUCACUGAAGUAUUAGUUAAUGCUUUAGGUGUCGACGUAUUCGACUUGAUUUACUGUUUAUGCACUUGUUUGUGUUUGAUUGGGAAAAGUUUUCUGAGGCUUCGACUGACAAUGUAGAUGAUUCAUCUACUGACUGUUUUUGAGAUUGAAUUACAUGGUACGUGCUAAAUGGUUAAUCUAGGAUGUGUGAUAUUUGCUUUAUAUGCUAAGUGCUACGUGGUUAUUCUAGGAGAUGUUGAUAUAUGUGACAUGCUUGUUGACUGUGCUGAUUUAUCUAUGUCAUUUCACAUAUGUCUGUGGUACUGAGGAGUGAGAAUAACGGGCAGGUCAUGCCGAUUUUAUUUUGAGAUUUUGGAGAAAGUUUGAUAGGACGAACGAAGAUUCGGGCCUUGUUAUGGUCUUCGUGGAUCGAGACACUCUCGGGGAGUUAAUUGGGAUUAUGGGACUUUGGAAACUCAUAAGAUUUGCGAUAAGACUAAUGGAAACUAUUUUAUAAGGAAAAUUCAUAAGACAUUAAACAACCUCUAAAUCUUCAAAUAAUGACAACAAACUCGAAAGAAAGCUUAGGAUUCAAAUCUUAGUUUUGGAAAAGAGGGAGUGUCGUCGGAUCCAAGUGUUGAGAAAAUUAAUAAGUUCUGAGUACGUUGAUACUCUUGUGCUCGAGUAGCAGUUGUGUUGUUGGGCUAUCUGAGAGAUAAGCCGAGGAAACAGGUAGUUUCCGAGUAUGUUGAUACUCUUUGCUCGUUGAGCCGUUUUGACCAUCGGAUGGAGAUGAGUCGGAUGAUUUGGAGAUCAUCAUGAGAGAAUGUGUCGUUGUAAAGGAUUGUCUUUUGUCGCAGAAUCGACUUUACCUUAGGGUAUGUUUUUAGAGACAAUAAGUUAGCCAGAACACGUGGCGACGUGUCGAGUGAGGUCGGAGACGUUGUUUGGCUAAUCAUUUUGCAUUCAUGCACCAUUAAUGAGGUAUUAACACGAGACGAACUUCGGACCUCGGUGGAUUCCAAAAUGGUCAUAAGACCCGGAUUUCCGCGUAAGAGCGCUAUUAGGCGACUCUUAGUAGCAGACCGAAAUGGCAGGCCUUCGGGUUUUAUGCUGAUCUGACUACCGUUGUUGUUGGAGUAAGAGGCACGCGGGCCGAAAUGGUCCCACCGUGGCUGGUGCUAGGGCUGAUCCGUUGAUGUCCAUCCCUUCCGGAAUGCAUUUGGUUAACUGGGUUAACCGGCAUUUGCAUUUCACGCAACAUGCAUACUGACUUAGUUGCUGAGUGUGUUUGAUACUUGUUAAUCCUAUUUGAUGCAUGCUAUUUGUUAUUACUGUCGUUUAUAUUCAUUGUGGAAUAUGCAACCUUAGGAUGCUAUCUUUAACUUAUAAGCCUAAGCGGCUGUCUCUUAUCUGUACCUAUUGGGAUUAUUAAUUACAUAAUUCUUUGGAGUUGACCCUCGCGUCUUCUGUGUGUGCUUUGGCGGACUACGCCCUUUGUCAGAUGUCUUUAGCGGAUUGGUUCACGAUGGUCCACCCUUCGGGGGGGACUAGAUAUGAGAUGAUAGAUCAGGACGACCCCGCUAGCCAUCGAGCGACGUACUCGGGGAGGAUCAUGGAGGAUCGCGUAGACAGCGGAGGACACUUGAUGGAAGGAGUGCUGAGGAAGUGCACUGUCAGUUUCAACUUGCCGCCCGGCAUGCACUGCGAACCAGGAGUAGGAGCACCACCACCACCGUCAUCUUCUGAUGAUGAGGACCCCUCAGAGGAGGAGCCUGUGGGAGUGACUUCUUCAGAGUCCAGCUCACCCACGGUUGCUAUUAUUGACGAUCAUGGUUCGGGCCCUAAGCCCGUGAGGCCAGCACCGGAGCGCAUCGCGGUUGCGAGAGGAGGACGGAUAGUGUUCGUAGACUUGGUCGUUCUGGAUUCAGAUUCGGACGACGAUCAUGCUAGCACAUAGUUUUGAGUGCUGGUGUGAGCUCCUCGAGAUAGGAUUAGUGUAGGAGUAGAGUCUUAGCUCUGACCGUCACUGUUUUCUUUGGGGACAGGGUAGUUUCCCGCCUAUAGCUUUUUGUGUGGUUCCUCUACUGGAAUCAUAGAGAGUUGGUUGGGCUAGGAGGUCUUGUUUUAGGCCGAUUGGGCUAACUUAUUCUCAUUUUUGAAGGUUUGUGUUGCGGACACUUAGCCUUUCCUGUCGGUUUGUACAUAUUGCCUACGGGCGUUACUUUUCUUACUUCCCGUCACUGGAGGUUUACUCGUGACGUGGUUUGCUACUUACAGCGGGGGUUGUAAUUAUUAUUGUAUAUUAGUUUUGUUACCUUUUGUUGUCUAGCUUUAUUUCUUUCAGUUUUAAUUCUAUUAUCGAAAAAAAAAAAUAUAUGCACGUUUUUCCGCUUUAAGUUUCUUUUUUGUUACUAAAGUGACGCCACCGAAAUCGGUGUGUUACAGAUGUGGCCUCUUCUUCAUCACAAACCUCUCUCUCAAAGCAACAAUGGCAGAAGUUUUGGGGCUCAAGUGCGUUGCCCAGGUGCAAAGAGAUGGCUUGGAGGCUUAUUCGUGGAUUCGUACCAGUGAAUUCAGAACUGAAGCGGAGACAUAUGGAAGUAGAUGAGCAGUGCGUGUGGUGCUGUCAAGAAAAUGAGACUUUGGAGCAUGUUUUCCUCUCUUGUACAGCUGCCAAAAUGUUAUGGUUUUGCUCUCCUUUAGCUUUGAGGACAAAACAGUUCACGGUUUGAUAGACUUAUGGGUGGCGGUGCUUCAUGAUGGGGAUGCAGAUUUUAUUGGGAUGGUCCAGACCUUAUGUUACGCUCUUUGGGAAGCUAGGAACAGGUGCGGGUUUGAUCACAAGUGUUUCUCUCCGUUGGAAGCGGUGCAGCGCUCGCAAAGGCUGCUGUCUCCCCCGUGAGUGGACACGCCAGCCCCACCCUCUCGCACGGUUCAGUACACAACGUGGAGAAGGCCAGGUCGAGGGGUGUUUAUGAUCAAUUUUGAUGCCACUUUUGUUGAGGGACAACCGUCGCUAUGGUAUGGUGGCGCGAAACUUUGAAAGGGAAAUUUUGGCCUCGGCGACGGCGUAUCCCGUGGCAUCUCUUUCCCCUCUCUUGGCGGAAGCGGGUUGUUUCCGAUGGGCUCUUCGGUUGGCUAUUGAGUUGGGUUUCCGGAGGGUUGAAUUCCAGACUGAUUGCUUACAACUUUUCAAUUGGUGGAAAUCUCGUAGGGAGGGUGUUUCGUUCCUAGCUACGACUGUUCGUGAAUGUCGUUUUUUAAUUUCUGGUUUUGAUGUUUUUACUUUAUCUUUUGUAAGACGUUCUGGUAACGCAGCUGCUGACUGUUUGGCUAGGAACGCCUCUACUUACGCUGAUAUGGUGUGGGUGGACGAAGUUCCGGAUUGUGUUUUCCAUGUGGUGGCUCAGGAUGUUUUGGCUUCUAUGCCUCCUGAUGCCUAAUUUUUAUAAAAUCACUUUCAAAAAAAAAAAAAUUCGUGCAUGUUUGGAUCAGGUUUAUAGAUAAAUUUGAUUUUCAUAAAAUUGAUUAUUUAUAGUAGAAAUCAGUUAAAAAUUAAGUGACUUAUAUUUUCUUUUACAUUGGAAAAAUAAAUUGCACCCUCUAGAGAUCGAUCUUUAGACCUUUUCUCCAAACCAUAUGUCCCCAUGUUUUUACCACUUGAGUCAUCAUUCGAGGACAAAGAGGUUUAUAUUUGAAUACAUUUAUGAAAAAGUGAUUCAUGUUGAUGAGGUAAAUCAUAAUCUCGCAAUUGAUUAUUUCAAUGUAAAAGUUAUUCUCUAGCAUCUACAAGAAUUAUUUUGAAUUUAAAAUUAAUUCUCCAAAAUAUCUCAUAAGCAUCAAACUUUUAUUUAUAAUUAAUCCUACACUACCAAUAUUGAUUAUGAGUUUCCAAAUAGAAAAUCAAACACACUCCUUGUUUGAUUAGGAAGAACCAUAAGGAAAAUAAAAAACAUACUUUUCUUUCCUUUAAUUUUAAAUGAAUGUGUUAGAUGAGAAUUUGUACGUGAAAAAUUGUCCAGAAUGUAAUUCAUUUUAGUUUUCCUAGUUUUGGUUUAUGACGAUGGGUGUUUGGUUUGUCAUUGGCCUUCGGAAGUUCCGACAAAGAGGGUUGAGUCCUGAAAUAAAGCAUUGAAGAAAAAGUAAAGAUGAAAUAUGUGGAAAAAAUAAUCACAUUUAACGUCGUAUCUUAUGGAUGAAAAUCUUUUGUCCACACUUGAUAUCUUAUUCUUUUUUUUUUGAAAUAGUAUGUUAUUCUUGAUCUCACUGAAAGAAAAUGUUUCGUGUUUAUUUCAUUCAAUCAUAAGAUCGAAUAUACAAGAGUAACACAUUACAAACAAGGAAGGUCAACUAGACUACUAUGACCAAAAUUAUUAUGUUACUGACUACUAAUAUUAAAGGUACACAAAGAUCCUAAAAUUAUUUACAAAAUUAUUCUAUCAUUCACCAAUGGAAUUAUAUUUAGUAGAUCACAUGAGUAUGAUACUUAUAAAUCAUAAGGUGCUUGCUAUGGUACCUUAAGCCAGACUAAGGUGUGAUACCCAAAAUGAGUCGAUUUUAAUAAUAAAGACACAUGUACCGGUUAAAAUUUUGAUUGUGUUCUAUCGUAGUAAUGCAACGUUCCAUUCUUAGGGACGUGAGAUUUGAAAGUUGUGUUUUCUGAGCUUUGUGCAUCCACCAACCAUGGUCAUUUUACGCGCAUCUUCAUCACCAUUAUUCGUUUCCACCACUCGUACAUUUUUCAUCAAAAAAUGAAUUUCAUGAGAUAAAGUUAAUUGACAAGUAAAUUAAAAUCUAAGAGCAUCUCCAAUGGUAGGAACUUAUUUUGGGACUUAACUCAAUUUUUGUGGGCCCAAAUUGCCACAUAGGAUUUAAGACACCCAUAAGGUCUUCAUGCAUAUUUCACUCUAGUGGUUGGGAUAUUAUUUUACUUUUGACUAGACCCACAGUACCCAAUAUAUUUAUAUUAUUUAUUUCUCUCCCUAAUUUUCACUUUGGUUAUGGUAUUGAAGGAGAGAGAAAAAAAUAUUAUUUUAUUUAAGAUCCCACAUUUGAGAGUACCUGAGCUAAGGCACGGAUCUUAGCUUUUGCUAAGAUCUCAUGCCAUGUAGGAUAGCUCUAAUGGUGAGAUCUAAUAAGAUCCAGAUUUUAUUUUAAGGUCCCAAAAUAAGGACUCCAUUGGAGAUGCUCUAAUGAUGUAGUAUUUACCUUGAAUAACAUGAUAAUAAUUUAUAGAAUUAUUAAUGAGGUACCAUACCCAAAAAAAAUUUGAGGGUACCAUAGAAUUUACCAAAUUAUAAUCGUACAUGUGUGAAUAGGGCAGAGAAUUUCACCCAUAACAUUGGUGAAAAACAGUCCAUGGUGUAACGUACACAACAAUGUCUCUUUUCACGCAAAGGAAGUGGUGUUCUGAAGGCUAACAUUUUGUGUUUUGACUAGAUUGGCAAUUAGCCAAUAAUUAUGCUCAAUUUACCCACCACAUUCAAAACCUUAUGCAAAAGAAAACAAAAAUGACAAAAAAAAAAAAAAACACAUUUCAAGUGGAGCAUGAUAACAUCGCAUGUCUUACAAGUGAUAGGUUCAAGCCCACACUUAUUUCAUAUGAAAGGUUUUUCCUACCUUAAAUCAUGGCAACAUUCACUCACCCUAGAUUUUGUUAUUGACUUUGUAAGGAAAUUUAAUUUUAGUCAUUCUAAGAAAAACUUACGUUUAGUGACAGCCACUUUUAUAAUUAUUGACAAUUUUUUACCGUCACGAAGCGUUAUUUUUACUUAAAAAAAGACUAAAAUCAAAUCCUUAGAAAUUCAGAGAAUAAUUUAACCAUUAACCCUAAACCUAAAGUGUCUUGUUUUUUGGUAUAUUAAAUUGUUGUCAUAAUUUCGGUCGUGAAAGUCAAACGUUUUCGAAAAUGUAAUACCUAAAAAUUGAGCUUUCGACCUAGAUAUAAACAGUCAAUUUUUAACACUGCGAUCGGCACUCGAAAGUAUAGUGUGUUUGCUUUGCCUGAUGUGUAAGAAAGAAAGUUGAGAAAUAAUUGAAAUUGAAGAAAAGCUCCAAGUUGGUCAGCUUUCGAUUAUCAUCAUCGAAGAAUAAGCAACCAUCCACAUCUUGCUGCUGCUACUACCAAGCUAGCUAGCUCUUCUGUACCUCUCAUCUUCUUCUCUUAGACAUGGGUUCUUCUUCUAGUCGUCUCGGGUCUCGCUCUUCUCCUCCUCGGGUCAACAACAACCGCUUCAGACUAUCCUCUCUUCUCUGUGGAUCCUCCGCUUCCCGCUCUACAACUCCUCAGGUACCCGAUUUUCUUAAUACCCAUUUCGUUUUUACGCUUUUUCAUUUCGAAAGUUUGAUUUUUAUCAUCUGGGUUGGUCCAUUCGAUUUACUUUUGAAUUGGGUAGCUUUUGUUUUUGGGGAUGUAAGUAUAAAAUUGAUUUGCUAAAAGUCCAAUCAAUUGUGCUUGACUUAUAUAGAUAAAGCAAUUUUUGUGAUAGACUGAUAGUAUUUGGCUUUUUUGUUAGCUGAUUGAUUACAUCAUUUGAAAAAAAAAAUUGAUUGUGUGAGAAUAUUGUGAGCUUGGUUAUAUAAUUAUAGUUUGUAGGUUCUAUUGAUUAUCAUAGGAAUCUGAUAGUUUGCUAGUUGAUUAAUACGGUUUGACGCAUAUGAGCCUAACUAAUCUAUGAAAUUAUCUGCUGGUGCCUGUGGUAGUGUGGUAUAAUUCUUUAUCACAAAUUUGGAUUUAGCUUGUUUUAUUAUUUUAUUGUAUUCACUAGGUGAUUGAUUCAUGGAACGGUUCAAGUCUCUUCGGUCUUGAAAGAUUAAAAUUUCACUCGUUACUAGUUUUUUUAUUUUAACUUUUUUCUUCAUUGGCACUCCUUUACUUUCCAAUGAUUUGAUGAACUUCUUUAAGUUUUAGAGUCAUGUUGAUCCUAAUAAGUUUAUGCAUCUCAGCAUCUAUUCAAGGGUGAAUUUGGAAAAUCGUAUUUGUUCUUAACUUGUUGAGUAUUGUUUCAAGGAAAACUGAAUGCAUGAGUAUGUAUGACUUGAAAAUUUAUCCACAAGCCAUUUUAUCUGGUCUCACACAAGCGAUAAUUUGUGGAUGCUGGAUAGCCGUUAAAUAGAUACUGGGAGUGACUGAUACAGGAAAUUACAUUCUUACAUUGUGUUUUUAGAUGGAAGAACGUCCAUCUGAGCUUCAGGUUGGUUCGGCAAGAGAUUUUGAUGAUGAAAUUCAGAAAGCAGCCUCUGAGGAAUCGUCUUUAUCAUGUACAGAAGCUAGAACUAGCUAUUGUCCCCGUGCUGAAACUUCAACCUCAUCUGAUAUGGGAGUUGAGUUCUGUGGUGAUAAAACCGUUGAAGGUUCUUCCAGAAAUGUUGCAGCAAAUAGUCAGAGGAAGUGUUUGUCUGAACGUCAGGAGCUAGUUCCUCCUUAUCAGGUAAGCGCCGAUAAUAGUCGUCAUGAAUCAUAUAGUGAUAGUAGCAACACAGCUAGUACUUCAUCUGUUGAACAUCAGUCUUCAGAUCCAGUUUCUAUAAGUGUUUCUGCUAACAAGGAUGCAGUCAAUAAUGUUGAUGAUCCAGUGUUUAGUGGUAUCUGUCAAACCUCUCGUGACACGAUGUAUCCAAGGAGUUCAACCCCUCAAGAGCGUGGAAAUACCAGUUCUGAUGAAAUUUCUGUUGAGAAUCACACUGGUGCAUUCACAUCUAUCCAGAGUGCUCCUUCCAAUCCUGUUGCUCAAGUUUCCAAUAUAAUGGCAAUUUCUCAAGUGCCAGAAGAUGAACCUCUUCGCGAGGCAAUACCUUCAGGUUUAGGUUUUCUUGUGUCCAAUCGGGAAACAGGGCAGGGAGAUGAUAGCGUGAUUCAAGUUGACGUGGUCACAAUAUCUUCCAACAUUUUGUCAGCAAGCAAUGCAGAUGCCAAUGAUCAUGAUUCCAGAAGAAAUGGUAGAAGAUUAUUUUGGGAUGCUUUUUCACGACGUAGCUCUGGAAGGCUUGGUGAUUCUCCGACCAUUGUCUUCUCCAGUGGAGGUGCUGAUGAUACAGGAUCUCAAGAUCGAUGGCUCAUUGAUUUUAGCGGUGAUUUACCAAAUGAUAGGGUUGGGGAUGAUGCUGGAAAUCCUGGUCGUAGAACUCAUAGAUCGAGUGAACGAAUGCGGCACCCAAGAUCUGAGGUGAUUCUGAAUAUUUGGAGUAUAGAAUGCUUUAAAUUGUUUAUGUCACCUACUUGCAUUUAUUAAAUGGGCUUGUGAUCCCUUUCAUGUAACAUAAGCUGUUUACAUUUCUUUAUAUAGAUUUGGGAAAGGCUUCGUGGUGGCCUUGAUGAGAUUGGUCGGUUGAAUUCUUCAUGUCCAUUAGGACUCCAUGCUGAUGGUAUGUGCUCAUGCGAGUCUUUCCCAAUGGCUGAGGAAUCUAGCACUCGAGCAAGCAUUUCAAGAAUAGUCAUGCUGGCUGAGGCUCUGUUUGAGGUUUGAACCUUCUCUCCAGUGUCUUUUUUUUUUCUCCUAGAUUUAAUUAAAUUGAGUUUUCCAUCCAUCCUUAUCCCUUGUGUUUCCUGCUCUAUGAAUUUUAAUUUUAUCUCUAAAUUUCUGCGUUUGGUUUAAACAUGGUACUUGCUGAUUGGCAGUUCAAUCUGAUACCGUUGAUAGGGCAGUGUGCUUACUGCAUAAGAGCAUUUCAGGAUGCUCUCAUGCAUUUGAUUUUCUUCUUUUUGGCCUCUUUUCUACGAUAUCAUAACUUCCUGAUGAUUGAGAUUAUCUAAUUUUGAAUUUCAUAAUUAAAAGUUAGGUCUUUGACAAUCUAAUAUUGGACUGCUUCUAUUGUGCAGUUUCUCUGUAGUGAAAAACAGUUCUUUAUUCCUCUUGCAGUAGGUCUGCAGAUGUCUUGUAGCAUUUGGGUGUCAUCUGGUGUUUUAUUUUAUUUUAUUAGAAGUACAUCAUUUCAAUCUAGCUUUGCAUUGGCGACUUUUCAAAGGGGGGCGGGUUGCACCUCUCACUACUCGGUAAAUUAAGAAUGAAUAUAAUGAAAUGUCCAAUAUGAUCAAAUUAUUCAGAAUGUUAUUAUGUUCUGUAUUUUAAAGUAUGUUUGAGUUCUUGUCAUCAUGCCCACCACAGCUUGAUUGGGUAUAUCAUAAUACUCAGAGUCACAGGCUCACCCUUGUAAGGUGGUCUUCAUAUUCUGAACCAGAUCCCUCCUUUUCAAUUGUCUGCAGUACUUUUUUGUGUAAUAAUUUCAUUUCAUUCACUUAGAUGUAAAAUCUAGCUUGGUUUGUCUUUCAAAAAAAAAAUAGUACCUUAAAUGGAAGCCAGUUCCUGUAACUGAAGGCUCUUCAGGUCAUGAAUGGUGGUAGGCAUGUGUUAUUAUGCUCGGUACACAGAUGCUUUGAGCUUAAAGAACAGUGUUUUCCAUGAUGAAUCAUAAUUGAUUUGAACCUAUUAUUUUCUGGUUACCUGAGAUAUCCGUCUUUAGGUAUAAUUAUCUGGCCAAAAAUGGUUCUAUACUUUACUAUUGGAUUAUGAGAACUGAAAUGCCGAAAGCAAUUUACAUAGGGCAGCAUAUUUUUCCUCUGCAGGUUUUAGAUGAAAUCCAUCGGCAACCUGGAUCACUUUCCCUAUCCAUGGUCUCACUCCCCGCACCUGAAUCAAUUGUUGACUCCUUCCCUCUGAAGUCUCACAAAAAGGGCGAUGCAGCUAAUGGAGACAAUGAUGCUGAACAGUAAGCCUUUAGAUCCCUAUUAUCUUAAGCAAAUAUGUUUGGAUGAAUAAUAUAUGUGGUAGUAUGGCCAUAGUUAAGUGUGUGUUUGGAUACUAGUCGAGUGUAAUGUGAAUGAACUUUCAUGAGUUUCAUCUCAAUCCAAAAGAAAGUUCCAUUCACUUUUUGUUUCGAAGUGAGUACUAGCGUCCGUGUGCACAAGUGUCAACGUGUAAUCCAAGCAUAGCCUAACUAGUUUUUCACUUAUGUAGUCUGUCAGUGUGGUUAUGAUACUUUUUUUUUGUUGGUUUUGAAUGCUUGAAAAGUUCUUCCUUCUCCCACUAUUAUCAAAAUUUAAUAAAUGAAUUUUGUAGAUGUCACAUAUGCCUGGCUGAGUAUGAAGAAGGGGACCAAAUACGAGUUCUUCCUUGCAACCAUGAGUACCACAAGUUGUGUGUUGACAAGUGGCUUAAGGAAAUACAUGGGUAUUGUCACUGUAACCAAAAAUCGUUCAUUCUUUUCAUAUCUAUCAAUUUCCAUUACAUAAAUAACCAUUUUUUUCUGCUUCCCUCUUUUACAGUGUGUGCCCUCUUUGUCGUGGCAAUGUUUGUGGAGAGUUGUCUGCUACCUACUCAGUAGUGCAGUCUCAAUGAUAUUGUGUACAUAGAUGUAAAUAUUCAACUAUAGACUAAAGUACCAUCUGGGUCAUCUAAAGAUACACCUAACAUCAAUUUGAUCCUUCAAAUAUUUUUAUCAUCAAUACGGUUCGAAUUGAUGUCACAUCAAAUUGGAUGGAAGGAUUAUUUUGUCGUCGCUUUAAAUUUUCAAAGAACUAAUUGGAGAUCACAAUUAUUUGAAAGACUAAAUUGGUUUGAAGUGUAUUUUAGUCUAAAAUCAAUGUCACCCUUGGGCCUUGGCAAUCAUAUCUAUAAACCCUUAUAUUUAAACUGUGUUGGGAUGUUUUUUCAUCAACCAAAACAAGAGGGGAUUGACUACAAAGGAAACGGGGAAAAAAGAAAGAAAGAUAGAUUAGGAAUAUAGUUAAGAAAUGGUGCAAAAUCUUUGUUUCCUCCCCAUUUCACCCCAACAUAGAAAAUGCAUGUUUGUUUUUAAGUUUAAAUCCACAGUUUGGAGCUUUGAAAUUCUAAAUCCUGAAUUCUCAUGGCCCCCAACAUGAAAGGGACUUUAGCCUUUUGUUGGUGUUUAACUGAGAAACAAACAUGUAACAUGGUCUUGGGGGGGAAUUGAUUGGGAAUGGUUCCUCUCAAGUUCUAUUCGCCUCUUGUACAUUGUUAAUUUCCAAAUAAGAAAUUGUUUUUCUUCUCAUUAUUGCUUUUGUUCCCUUCAUUAUCUAUCAUCCAAGCACGGUUCAAGUACAGUAGUUAUAUCAUGAGCUUGUGCUCUAUGCAAGAAUCCAUUUUAUGAUGAAACUUGUUUGGAUCUAUAGUAUUUGUUCUUCAGACUCCCAUCUAGGAAACAUCAAACUAAAAUUUUUUUGAUUUGGCAAUGUUGCAAGGAAAAUAAAUUUCAACGAAAGGAAUAAAACAGACAAUCAAAUUAUGCAUUUAAAAUUGUAAGGUGAAAAAAAAUGGCUUAGCACUAGAAAUGCUUGAUAGUUGAUAGAACUGUGAAAAAGACUAAUACCAUCAAAGUAAGAUUGUCAAUGAAGAUCUAGACAGUACUUACAAGUCUCUUUGCUUGCCUUAACAAUAUAACAACAAAUACUUUACUGCAUAUGGAUUUCCUAGAGAAGCUGAUUCAGACUUCAGCUUAAUCUAGUUCCACUUGCUCUCUCCAUAACCAUGAGAAAAUGGAUUGAUGUUACUGCUGCGAGCUGAAUUAUCAUGAUGAACAAAAAGAUUUGGAUGAAUAUUUUCAUCAUCCUCAGAUGUUGUCCACCGCCUUGAGUUGCUGCCAUGUUUUUCUCUAGCAACAUUGCGCAUGUUCUCCAUCUCUCCUACAUGGUUUUUGAAUUCCUUCUUCACCACGUCCAGCACCACAUCACCGUAUCUGUCACACCAUGAUCUUCAACACACAAAAGAAACACAAGAAAGUACACAGUAAGUAACACUAAUCCUCUGAUCUCAGACUGUAUAAAGUGUCAAGUGAUCCAAAAUUGAAACAUGAAAAGUGGGGUUAUGUUGACUCACUUAGGAAAGUAAUUUUUCAAAUCAGCCUUGUCCACUGGAAUUCUAGUAGAAAUUGCUUCCAUCUGAUCAUUCCUGAUAUCACAACAAAUGCAGCCAAAAGUAAGUAACAUUUCUAAGCAAAGAACUAAGUGCGUGUUUGGAUACAUGGUGAGCUAAAAUCACUAUGGAUGGAAGUAAUUUCCCUUAGCUUUUGUGACUGUUCACCGUGAUCUUAGUUUUACAGCUAUUUUCCAUAGUGUAUCCAAACAUGCACUAACUAAUAUCAGUUUUCCAAAUGCAAGGAAAGUAAUUACGAGAAUUUAAGAUUUGGGUUUGUGCUGCUAAGUUCUGUCUGGAUUCUUGUCAGCUCCUUCUUUAUCUUGUCUCCCAAAACCUAUUCACAGUGAACAAGAAUUUUGUUUAACAUGUCCAAAAAUUAGCUCAAUUUCAAAAGGAAAUUAGAUUGAAAUAUAGAAAGAGAUGAUGGAUGAAGGAUCUAAAACCUUAUCUAUGAAGAAAUCAGAUGGAGAACCAUCAGAAUGUAACUUCUUCUUCAACAACUUGGUGUCUGGUCCCUCUCCAUGAACUCUUGCAAGAGACUGGGAGGAAGCUGAGUGUCCCCCACUAUCAGACCUCUCAUUCAGAGGCAAUGGAGCAGUCUCAUCAUCUGCCUCAUUUCUCUUCCAUCUCUUGAACCCAUCAAACCCCCAUUGCUUCUUCACUGGUUUCCCUGCUCUUUGCUCUGGCUCAGGACCACCACCACCACUUCCACCACCAACUCCCUCCCUCUGCUCCCUGUGAAAUAAAGUCCUAAAUGGCUUCCUCUUCAACUUCUCCGAGCCACCGGUUUCCUUCACAGCUUCCGGGGGCCCACUUUCCUCCAUGAGAAUUGUUGUACCUUCACUUUUAUUGCCAUUAGGCUCAGCAUUCCAAAAAGGGUUUUCACUGGAUUGCCUCAAUUGCAAAGAAGGUGAUUCAAAAGCACUCUUCUCCACCCCAUUUUUCCCAGGUUUGUGAGGAGAAACAAAGCCGAAAACCGAGGCUGCCCCUUUAAUCUGCUUCAAACCCGACCCCUGAUUCGAUUUUCCCUUACAAUUCAAAUUCUCCUUGUUCAUCUUCAAUCCCUUAUCAUCCUUCAAAUCAAUAACCGACCACUCUUCCUCCGAAAUCUCUCUAGGCCUCACUGCCCUCACACCAACGAUCACAUCCUUAGCCUCAAUCUGAGCACCUUGAACAGCCAAUCUCUGAAGCAAAGGUCUCUUAGAAGAAUGAUACUCUUCUUCAGAAACACACUUUGCAUACAGAAGCUCCUGCAGAAACAGAAGCUUGUCUCUGAGUAUAACAGGAUGCUCUUGUUCCGGAGGCGAAGCGAUGAGAGUCUCGAGCAAGUGGGUUCUGAAAGCUGAAACCUCAGUUUCAGCCACAAUGCCUUCUUCGUGAAGACCCAUCAAGUUCAAAAUCUGGUGGAAAGACUCCUGCUGCCAUUUGAGGUUGUCGGAUUGCAGCUUCGACAACCUUUGCUCUGCUGAGAGCAAUGAUCGUUUCUUGAAGCUGAAAGGGAGAAGGGUCUUGCAGAGUGAGGUGAUUGAGUCAUGGAGUGUUGAGUAGUAGGUUGGUGUGUAGUUUGAGUACACCAUUUUUUUCUGAAUCUUCGGAUUGUUGAAUUGGAUGUGUCUGUUAGAAUUUCUAGCUUAGAAAAGAACUCAACUCUUGGUGGUGUGUCUGUGUUGUUUGUUUUCCUGGUUUUGAAUUUUUGAGACGAUGCUCUCAAACGGUCACUUUGAUAUGGAAACUAGCCGUUGAAGACUGUGAAUGAAUAUUAUUUCAUUCAGGUAGCGCUUAUAACAACUAAAUUUUGAAAAAUAAAAGAGAAAAAUGAUGAUGCACCGACACCGUCAACCAAUCAGAUUUCAAUGAUGUGCCACGUCAAUUAAUGAAAUUAAAUAAAAAGAGAGAUUUUCUCACAUCCUUGAAAACUGAUUGGUUGACGGUGAAAAAAAUUUUACACUGCACUGUCAGUGUGUAAAGUUUAAGUGUUAUAAUCUAAGCCAUUGAUUUUGAUCUAAGGGUAGAAAAUCAAUCAUCUCACUCUCACAUAAGAAAUCUCUCUCUCACUAGAUACAUCCUCUAUAUAUAUAUAUAUAUAUAUAUAUAUUUAAAUUUCGCAUUUAAGUCAUAAUUUUACAUAUAAAAUGAAAGUUAAUAUGACUAAAUACUUUAUAUCAUAACUAAACUCUAAAUUAUUUGAUAUUAAUUUUCAUCUUAAACCAUUUCAAACCAAACAGUUAGCGUAGUAAUUCAGCAUAACGAAGGAGACGACAGUUCGAUUCUAAACUCUUAUGAAUGAAAAAAUAAAUGUGGAGAAAGAAUUAGUCUCACAACUAUGAACAAUUUAUUAUUGCACUAAAAAAGCUCCAUUCACAUGAAUUAAAUAAAAUAUAGAAAUAUUAAUAUGAUAAAUUAAAAUUAAUUACAUUUUUUUGUUUCUCAUUUUUUCUUAACAAUGGUUUCUCAUUUCUUAAAAUAUCUUCAACAUUUAAGUCAUGUUUGAUUGCAGUUUUUGAAAACACCAUUUAAAAAUUGUUUUUAGAGAUUAUUUUUUAAAGUGGUUUUUCAAAAAAAAAAAACUGUUUGAAUUAGAUAUUUUCCAACAUUAAAAAAAUUACAAUAUGAAAAAUAAAAACUGAAAUAGAAAACAUCUUUUAGUUGUUUUGGUAUUUUAGUUUUAAAAACUGAAAUUAAGAACUGUUUUCGAAAACAGUUUUAUAUUAUUCAUCUAAAAAAAGUUCGCAGAGGGGGCGUCCAAAAGGGAGUAAGAAUAAACCCAUAGCAUUGCCGAAUAAUUUUCUAGAGCCAAUUCCAAGUGAAGAUGGGGUGACAACGCGUUCGCAUAGAGCAUGGUUGAUCGGAAAGGAGUUGGGACUAAAACCACGCUGAUCAGAAGCUUUGAUGCUGAGAGGUUUAGAAGCUCAAAUCCGUGAAAAUCACCCUCACCUCAAUUGAUAUGUCGGGGCCUUGGCUCACAUGGAAUGUGCGUGGGCUAGGCGGAACUACGAAAAGAGAGGCUGUCAAAAAAGCACUUCAGCAAUUGAAACCAGAAUUGAUUCUAUUACAAGAAACAAAAUUGAAUGAGCAGAGGCAACGAACAGUUGAACAGUGGACGCAAAGUUUGCAGAUGAAUCAUGUCGAGGUUCAGUCAGCGGGAGCAGCAGGUGGCCUAAUGUGUCUGUGGAAGGAAAGCAGUUUUCAAGUUCAGUCAAUGGUGACAUACACUAAUUUUAUUUUUUUGUCUGUAAAAGUUCCAAAUUAUGAACACCCAGUUCUAGUGGGGAAUGUUUAUGGUCCCCAUUCUUUGCCGGAACGUAGAGUAUGUUUUGAGGCCUUGAAAGUGCAUGUGCUAAGUCAUACAGGUAUGAUGUUUCUUGGGGGCGAUUUUAACGCUGUUCUACUAGGAUCGGAGCGGUCUUCAGAAGGAGUUCUUGAUGUAGGCGAUGUGGUUUUUCAACAAUUUGCCACUGAUACUAACUUAUCAGACCUACCCCUGCUAAAUGGCAAGUACACGUGGUACUCAAGUCGCAACGAUGGCCUAUGGAGUCGAUUGGACAGAUGGCUCGUGUCUGACGAGGUGAUGUUAUCUUUUUCGAAUAUUUCACAAUCUGUUUUUGCAUGGAAUGUUUCUGAUCAUAGAGUUGUAGGUUUGGUGUUUGGUGAACCUGACUCUGGCCCUAAACCUUUCCACUAUUUUAAUCAUUGGGUGGAUGACGAUGGAUUUUAUGAGGUGGUCGAAAAUUGGUGGAGGUCCGCAAUUUACCAAGGUUGGUCGGGAUAUAUUUUGCAGCAAAAAUUAAAGGGUUUGAAGGGGAAAAUAAGAGAGUGGCGCAAGGGGAAAGGGGUGUGGGGGGUGGAAAAAAUUAUGUGCUUAGAGAAUAAAUUGCAGGAAGUGAUGGGGGCAAUGGAGGAGCAAGGGGGGGCGCAGUCUUUGUCUAAGGAGAGGAGGGAGAUUUUGGAAGCUCUAUGGAAAGCAUACCGCAAGGAGGAAAGAACUUGGCGUCAGAAAUCAAGGGUGCAGUGGUUGAAGGAGGGUGAUCGGAAUACAAAGUACUUUCAUCGCAUCUGUAAGGCAAGAAUAGUAAAAAAAAAAUAUUACCCAGUUAAGUUAUCAGGGAAGAGACUUAACUACCCCAGGGGAAAUCAAAGAGGCUAUGCAGGAUCAUUUUCAGAAUUUUUUCAGGAUGGCAGCUGUUACUAGGCCUUGUUUUCAUAAUCAGAACUUGAAAAAGGUGUCUGAAUCAGAAAAUCAAUUUUUAGAAGCUGAUUUUUCACUUGAUGAAAUAUGGGAGGCUAUUAAAAAUUGUGAUGGAAAUAGAGCUCCUGGACCUGAUGGAUUUAGCAUGGAUUUUUUUAAAAAACACUGGAAUCUAGUGAAGGAAGAUUUGAUGAACUUUUUUAAUGAUUUUCCCCAUACAGGGCAUCUUGUUAAGGGUUUGAACUCGACUUUCAUUGCGCUUAUUCCAAAAGGUGAUCUCCAGGAACAUAUUUCUGAUUACAGACCUAUCAAUUUGAUUGGCAGUGUGUACAAACUGUUAUCUAAGGUGUUAUCAGUACAUCUGAGUUCAAUCCUUCCUAGGCUGCUAAGUCAGAAUCAGUUUGCUUUCACAGCAGGACGUCAGAUUGCUGAUUGUUCUUUGAUUGCAAAUGAGAUUGUCCACUCUAUGAGUUCGAGGCCGCAAGGAGGUUUGUUAUUUAAAAUUGAUUUUGCAAAGGCUUAUGAUAGUGUUGAAUGGGGUUUUCUGUUGGAGCUCUUACAAGAGAUGGGGUUUGGGGAAAGAUGGAUUAGGUGGAUGUACUGCUGUAUUUCUUCAGCUACUUUGGCGGUUUUGGUAAAUGGUUCACCGUCUGAUUUCUUUUCAAUUGAAAAGGGCUUGAGGCAGGGUGAUCCUCUUUCUCCUCUUCUUUUUAACAUCGUUGCAAAUGGGAUGUCUUGCAUGUUAAACCAACUAUCAGUGAGGGAUAUCCCAUGUGGGGUGGAAAUAGCUCUAGGGCUUCGUCUCAAUCAUUUACAGUUUGCUGAUGAUUCAUUGCUUUUUACAGAUUGCGAUCAAAACCAGUAUGAGGAGAUGGCUUUGGUGGUAGAAACCUUUUUGUUUGUUUCAGGUUUAAAAAUAAAUUUCAGAAAAUCAGAAGUUUAUGGUGUGAAAGCGCCCCCCAACACUGGUACAAUCAGCAGCAAAUUGGUGGAAUUUCAAGGUUGGAUCAUUACCUUUUAUGUACCUUGGUUCACCUCUAGGAGGUAGUCCUAGGAGAUUGUCGUUUUGGAACCCAGUUCUGGAGAAAUUGGCGGCCAAGCUUUGCACUUGGAAUUCACGCUAUCUAUCACUAAGCGGCAGGUUAGUACUUGUUAAAUCUGUUUUGAAUGCCAUCCCCUUGUAUUACAUGGCACUUUAUAGAGCACCGAAGGGGAUUAUCUUGAGAAUAAAGAGGAUUCUGCGUCGUUUCCUGUGGGGAGGUGUUUCUGGCGAAAAUAAAAUUAUGUGGGUAGAAUGGGAGGAUUUGUGUAAGGGAUCUCGGUAUGGUGGUCUUCGGGUGGGGUUUUUAGAGUGGAAAAAUAAGGCAAUGUUAUUGAAAUGGAUAUGGCGUUUUGGGCGGGAAAAGAAUGCCUUUGUAAGAUCAAGUUUUGAUCUAGUAGUACAACUCUAUGUUUUGAUGAUUACAAGUUAACCUUUUGAUAUGAACAAUUGUGGUACUCUAACGUAUUUUUCUGAGUGUGCUAUUCACAGGCUCUGACCUCAACUCAAUCUCACACAAAUCAGAAGCACUGUGUAUAAAGAGCGACCCAAGCAACGCUUUCGCAUUCACCAUGUUCAGUAUGAACAGUGGAAAAGCUUCAGAAGUUCUGAAGUUAUACAAACUCUGAUGUGGACUCAGUCACUAGAAGUUCUGAAGAUCCAGAAAGUCUGAUAACCAAGAAACACUGAAGGCUCAGAUAUUCUGAUGGUGUAGAAGACUCUGAAGAUCCAGAAGCUGAUUAGUGAAAUUCUGAUGUCCAGAAGCAAGAUACUCUGAAGACCAUGUUCUUCCCUCUGAGUUCAGAAUCAGAAGAAACAAUGGUCAGAGGAUCUGGGCUUUCCCUCUGACUCUGAUCAACCGGCUUCACAAGUUCCAAUAUGAAGCAUUCCCCUGAUCAGAUGUCUCCUAGGUUUAAAGGUCAAGUCGCUAUCCAAGUACAAAAGCAACUGUACCUUCCUGACGACCUACCUAACAGUCUCAGACAUAGCAGAAGCUGGAUUUUCCAGAACUGCCCUCCAACGGUAGCAUUUUCCAUGCAACGCUCAACCCUAAUCCUUGGAGUAUAUAAAGAGGCUGAAGACUGAAAGAAGCGGCUAGAAGCAUUCACAUACGCGCAAGACAUAUUCAAAUUCUUCUAACCUUUCUUUCAUCUGAAAUUCAUUGAGUUUACUAUUAGCUUUUUAGAAGCAAAUCCCUUGUAAACAAUUCUUUGAUAAACAGUUUGUUUAGUUCCUUUAGGAGAUCAAGGUUGAUCGGAUCCUAGAGAAGACUAAGAGAGUGAAUCUUAGUGUGAGCUAAGUCAGUGUAAUUGUUAGUCACUUGUAGGUUUCAAGUGCAGUUGUAACUCUUACCUGAUUAGUGGAUUGCCUUCAUUCUAAGAAGGAAGAAAUCACCUUAACGGGUGGACUGGAGUAGCUUGAGUGAUUUAUCAAGUGAACCAGGAUAAAAUCCUUGUGUGCUUUUCUAUCUCUUAUCUUUAGCACUUAAGUUCUCGAAAGAUUUGUCAAAAUCUUUAAGGUGGAAGCUUUAUCUUGAAAACGUUAUUCAAACCCCCCCUUUCUACCGUUUUUCAUACCUUCAAUUGGUAUCAGAGCGCAAGUUCUGAUUACCACACCUAACAGUGUUCAGUGAUCCGGGCCGGUGUGAAAAACAAUGGCUGCCACCACCAGUGAAACUCAAAGAGAUGGUUACAAUGCAAAGCCUCCUAUGUUCGAAUAUUGGAAAGAUAGACUGGAAAGUUUCUUUCUGGGUUUCGAUGCAGAUCUCUGGGAUAUUAUUGUGGAUGGCUACGAGCGUCCAGUUGAUGCAGAUGGCAAGAAGAUCCCAAGGUCAGAGAUGACUGCAGAUCAAAAGAAGCUGUACUCACAACAUCACAAAGCAAGAGCAAUUCUUCUAAGUGCUAUUUCCUAUGAAGAGUACCAGAAGAUUACAGAUCGUGAGUUUGCGAAAGGCAUUUUCGAAUCUCUGAAGAUGUCUCAUGAAGGAAACAAGAAAGUCAAAGAAUCAAAGGCAUUGUCUUUGAUCCAAAAGUAUGAAUCCUUCAUCAUGGAGCCAAAUGAGUCCAUUGAAGAAAUGUUCUCCAGAUUUCAGUUGCUUGUAGCUGGCAUACGACCUCUCAACAAGAGCUACACAACAAAAGAUCAUGUCAUAAGGGUCAUCAGGUGUCUUCCUGAAAGUUGGAUGCCUUUAGUGACUUCAAUAGAGCUCACGAGAGAUGUUGAGAAUAUGAGUUUAGAAGAACUCAUCAGCAUUUUGAAAUGCCAUGAGCUGAAGCGCUCAGAGAUGCAAGAUCUGAGGAAAAAGUCCAUAGCCUUGAAAUCUAAAUCUGAAAAGGCUAAGGCUGAGAAGUCAAAAGCUCUUCAAGCUGAAGAAGAGGAAUCUGAAGAAGCAUCAGAAGAUUCUGAUGAAGAUGAGCUGACUCUGAUCUCCAAGAGACUCAAUCGCAUCUGGAAGCACAGGCAGAGCAAAUACAAAGGCUCUGGAAAGGCAAAAGGAAAGUCUGAAUCCUCAGGUCAGAAGAAGUCCUCACUUAAGGAAGUCACAUGCUUUGAGUGCAAAGAAUCAGGGCACUACAAAAGUGACUGUCCAAAGUUGAAGAAGGACAAGAAGCCAAAGAAGCACUUCAAGACAAAGAAGAGUCUGAUGGUGACAUUUGAUGAAUCAGAGUCAGAGGAUGUUGACUCUGAUGGUGAAGUCCAAGAACUCAUGGCUAUUGUCAAAGACAAAGAAGCAGAGUCAAAGGGAGUUGUUGACUCUGACUCAGAAUCAGAAGGAGAUCCUAACUCAGACGAUGAAAAUGAGGUAUUCGCUUCUUUCUCUACCUCUGAACUGAAACAUGCAUUGUCUGAUAUCAUGGAUAAGUAUAACUCCUUAUUGUCUAAGCAUAAGAAGCUGAAAAAGGACUUAUCUGCUGUUUCCAAGACUCCUUCUGAACAUGAGAAAAUUAUUUCUGAUUUGAAAAAUGAUAAUCAUGCUUUGAUCAAUUCUAACUCUGUGCUUAAGAACCAGAUUGCUAAGUUAGAAGAAAUUGUUGCUUGUGAUGCCUCUGAUUGUAGAAAUGAGUCUAAGUAUGAAAAGUCUUUUCAAAGAUUCCUAGCUAAAAGCGUGGAUAGAAGCUUAAUGGCUUCAAUGAUCUAUGGCGUAAGCAGAAAUGGAAUGCAUGGCAUUGACUAUUCUAAACCAAUUAGAAAUGAGCCCUCUGUGUCUAAAGCUAAAUCCUUGUAUGAAUGCUUUGUUCCCUCUGGUACCAUAUUGCCUGAUCCUUUACCUGCUAAAGUUGCUAAAAACCCUCUUAAAAAGGGAUCCUUCUCUAUGUCUAAAUAUCAUGCAAAUAUUCCUUUAAAAUAUCAUGUUGAGACACCCAAGGUGAUCAGAACCUCUGGGGUAACUAACAAGAAAGGACCCAGAAAGUGGGUACCUAAGGACAAGAUUAUCUAUGUUGCAGAUAUCCUUGAUAGCUCCACUGAAACACCAAUCAUGGUAUCUGGACAGUGGAUGCUCGCGUCACAUGACGAGAGAAAGACGUAUGUUCCAAGAGCUAAAACUUAAGCCUGGAGGCGAAGUUGGCUUUGGAGGAAAUGAAAAGGGUAAAAUUGUUGGUACUGGUACUAUUUGUGUAGAUAGUAGUCCAUGCAUUGAUAAUGUGUUAUUGGUAGACGGCUUAACACAUAACUGCCGGGCUGUAAGUCAGAUCGAUGGCUCUGUUCUGUUUAACAGCAAGAGGAAGAACAACAUUUAUAAGAUCAGAUAAUCUGAGUUGGAGGCUCAGAAUGUGAAGUGCCUUCUGUCUGUUAAUGAAGAGCAGUGGGUAUGACAUAGACGGUUAGGGCAUGCCAGUAUGAGAAAGAUUUCUCAGCUGAGCAAGCUAAACCUUGUCAGGGGCUUACCCAAUCUGAAGUUUGCUUCAGACGCUCUUUGUGAAGCAUGUCAGAAAGGCAAAUUCACAAAAGUCCCUUUCAAGGCAAAGAAUGUUGUCUCAACCUCAAGGCCGUUGGAACUUCUGCAUAUCGACCUUUUUGGACCAGUGAAAACUGAGUCUAUAGGUGGCAAGAGAUAUGGGAUGGUUAUCGUUGAUGACUAUAGCCGCUGGACAUGGGUAAAGUUUCUAACCCGCAAGGAUGAGUCUCAUGCUGUGUUCUCUACCUUCAUUGCCCAAGUGCAAAACGAGAAGGCUUGUAGGAUUGUGCGUGUCAGAAGUGACCAUGGUGGAGAGUUUGAGAAUGACAAGUUUGAGAGUCUGUUUGAUUCCUAUGGAAUUGCACAUGAUUUCUCUUGUCCCAGAACUCCUCAACAAAAUGGUGUUGUUGAGAGGAAGAACAGAACUCUUCAGGAGAUGGCUAGAACCAUGCUCCAAGAAACUGGCAUGGCUAAGCACUUUUGGGCAGAGGCAGUAAAUACAGCAUGUUACAUUCAGAACAGAAUCUCUGUGAGACCAAUUCUGAAUAAGACUCCCUAUGAAUUGUGGAAGAACAUAAAACCCAACAUUUCUUAUUUUCAUCCUUUUGGCUGUGUUUGUUAUGUUCUCAAUACUAAGGAUAGAUUGCAUAAAUUUGAUGCUAAAUCUUCUAAAUGUCUAUUACUUGGUUAUUCUGAGAGAUCUAAAGGUUUUAAAUUUUAUAAUACUGAUGCUAAGACUAUUGAAGAAUCUAUUCAUGUUAGAUUUGAUGAUAAGCUUGACUCUGACCAGUCAAAGCUAGUUGAGAAGUUUGCAGAUUUAAGCAUUAAUGUUUCUGACAAAGGCAAAGCUCCAGAGGAAGCUGAGCCAGAGGAAGAUGAACCAGAGGAAGAAGCUGGUCCCUCUAACUCACAAACUCUGAAGAAGAGCAGAAUCACUGCAGCUCACCCUAAGGAAUUGAUUCUGGGCAACAAAGACGAACCAGUCAGAACCAGAUCAGCCUUCAGACCCUCUGAAGAGACCUUGCUCAGUCUGAAAGGAUUGGUGUCCUUAAUUGAACCCAAGUCCAUAGAUGAAGCUCUUCAGGACAAGGAUUGGAUUCUGGCCAUGGAAGAAGAAUUGAAUCAAUUCUCCAAGAACGAUGUUUGGAGCUUAGUGAAGAAGCCUGAGAGUGUCCAUGUAAUUGGAACAAAAUGGGUAUUCAGAAACAAGCUGAAUGAGAAAGGAGAUGUAGUCAGAAACAAGGCAAGGCUAGUUGCUCAAGGCUACAACCAGCAGGAAGGAAUAGACUACACUGAAACAUUUGCUCCAGUAGCAAGACUGGAGGCAAUCAGACUGUUGAUCUCUUUCUCAGUGAAUCACAACAUAGUUCUACAUCAGAUGGACGUGAAGAGUGCCUUCCUAAAUGGUUAUAUUUCAGAGGAAGUCUAUGUUCAUCAACCCCCAGGUUUUGAAGAUGAGAAGAAGCCAGACCAUGUGUUCAAAUUGAAGAAGUCACUCUAUGGUCUGAAGCAAGCUCCCAGAGCAUGGUAUGAGAGACUCAGCUCAUUCCUUCUGGAGAAUGAGUUUGUAAGGGGUAAAGUAGAUACAACUCUUUUUUGCAAGACUUAUAAAGAUGAUAUCUUAAUAGUGCAAAUUUAUGUUGAUGAUAUUAUAUUUGGUUCUGCUAAUCAAUCUCUAUGCAAAGAAUUUUCUGAGAUGAUGAAGGCUGAAUUUGAGAUGAGUAUGAUGGGAGAAUUAAAGUACUUUCUGGGAAUACAAGUUGAUCAAACACCAGAAGGAACAUAUAUCCAUCAGAGCAAGUACACUAAAGAACUUCUGAAGAAGUUCAAUAUGCUGGAAUCUACAGUGGCCAAGACUCCAAUGCAUCCUACAUGCAUUCUGGAGAAAGAAGAUAAAAGUGGUAAAGUAUGUCAGAAGCUCUAUCGUGGCAUGAUAGGUUCACUUCUAUACUUAACUGCAUCUAGGCCAGACAUACUAUUUAGUGUUCAUUUAUGUGCUCGUUUCCAAUCAGAUCCAAGGGAAACCCACUUAACUGCUGUUAAGAGGAUCCUAAGGUAUCUGAAAGGCACCACUAACCUUGGCUUGAUGUAUAAGAAAACAUCAGAGUAUAAGCUUUCAGGUUAUUGUGAUGCUGAUUAUGCUGGAGAUAGAACAGAGAGAAAAAGUACUUCUGGAAAUUGUCAAUUUCUGGGAAGCAAUCUAGUCUCAUGGGCAAGCAAGAGGCAAUCAACCAUUGCACUAUCAACUGCAGAGGCAGAAUAUAUCUCAGCAGCAAUAUGCAGCACUCAGAUGCUCUGGAUGAAACAUCAGCUGGAGGAUUAUCAGAUCCUUGAGAGCAAUAUCCCAAUCUAUUGUGAUAACACUGCUGCAAUCUCAUUGAGUAAGAAUCCUAUCUUGCAUUCAAGGGCAAAGCACAUUGAGGUAAAGUAUCACUUUAUUAGAGAUUAUGUACAGAAGGGCGUACUUCUUCUGAAGUUUGUUGAUACUGACCAUCAAUGGGCAGAUAUCUUUACAAAGCCCUUAGCAGAGGAUAGAUUUAAUUUUAUUCUGAAAAAUCUGAACAUGGACUUUUGUCCAGAGUGAAGAUGGAUCAGAACCUCUGACUAUGAUACUUCUUGAUCAGAAGAUGUCUAGUCCAGAAGGUAACUCAAUCAGAGUGUGUGUACCCAUUGGUACGGACUCUGAAGCUGAGACAGCAACACGUGUGUCAGUAUUUCUGAUGCAUAGUUCCUUGUGCCCGUGUGACAGUCUGUCAUGUUGCGUGUAGAUGUGCUUCUCUCCUGUGUGUGAUAUGUGUAUUUACUAUUACUAUCUAUCUUUAAUUUUCAACCGUUGAUUUUAAAUUGCUUUUUGAAUCAACAACGGUUAUUUGUCAAAACCCACUAUACACACACGAUCUCCUUCACUUUCGGUUUUUACUCUCUCUCUCUUCUGCUAUUUCAAAACCGCUUACCCUCGAUUUCUCUCUCGAUCUCUCUUCAUCUUUCAACCUUCAUCUUCUACCUAAACCUUCAACCGCUCCAAAAAUGGUGAGUCAAACCAGAAGAGCUACUGCAGAUGCAACCCAGUUCCCUCAUAUGGUAGUUGGUCUAGCAACAGGUCAAAGGGGUCCUGAGAAUCCGAAUCAAGAUCAAGGUCAAGCUCAAGAGCAGAUUAUUCCGAUUGCAGAACGGGGCUGUGCCGUUCACUGCGUAUAUGCUCCUGAGGAACUUCAAGUACUGGCAGAAUGGAGAUUCGACCUCGACAACCUUGCUACAAAUGGGUAUGAUCUUCGUCCUGAAGUCCAAGCUCAAGGUUGGGGAAAUUACUUCAACAGGCUUCGAGGACCGGUGUAUGACAAACUGAUCAAGGAAUUCUGGAAGCACGCCGACUGCGAUGAUACUCAGGUGGUAUCUCACAUUCUUGGAAGGAAGAUCAUCAUUACAGAGAAGUCUUUCGUGAAUCUGCUGUGUGCAGAAACUGCUCUUGGGUAUCGUUUCCAAUUCACUGAAUCGAAGCUGAAACCCAAGACGAAGGAUGAGACCAACAAGGCCCUGUACACCAAUUACAAACCGGGCAAGACUAAUUACAAAGUGAUGGACCUUCAUCCCAAGCUCAGGAUCUGGCACAAGAUUUUGCUCAACUGCAUACACCAGAGACCAAAGGGCAGUUCCCCAGACUACAUCAACUUCAACCAGAAGGCGAUGUUGUUCUUCAUCCAAGACAAGAAGAAGAUCUGCCUUCCCUACUUCCUGUUCUCCUACUUGAAGGAGUGUAUCCGGAAGUCUCGUACCACUGCCUCCAUCAAGUCAGCAAUCAAGUAUAUUCCCUUUGGGAGACUGUUGUCUGAUCUCUUCAUUGAGAGUGGCCUCAUUCAAGAUCUGGUAAAUGCUGGAUGCACAGAGGAUCUGACCACCAUUGUCAGUGAUGUCUUCACUGCGAAUUCUCUAAAGAAAAUGGGCCUAGUCAAGAAGAAGAUUGCUCCUGCCCAUGAAGACACAUCUUCUGAAAUCAGAAGUAGAAGGGUGCCUCUGUGGACACAGGCAGACAAUCCUGAAGCCAUUAGGUGCUAUGUUGAAGACCUAAGGGCUCAAGGCUAUGAAAUUGAUCUCGAUGAAUUCUUCAGCAGACUACCGCCAGCUCCAGAGUUUCCUUCUCCUAUCAAGAAGAAAGUUCAGAGGAAGAUGAUCCUAGAAGAAUCUUCUGAGGAAUCAGAUGUCCCUCUGACCAAAGGGAAGAAGGCUGGUCAAUCCAAGAGAAAACAUGAUGAAACCAGCAAGCCAGAUGAUGGUGAUAAUGAGGAUGGUCCUCCUUCUCCUAAGAAGAAGAAGAAGCAGGUCAGAAUUGUGGUGAAGCCUACUCGGGUGGAACCAGCUGCUGAAGUGAUCAGAAGGAUUGAAACUCCUGCCAGAGUGACAAGAUCAUCAGCACAAUCAAGUAAGUCUGCAGUUGCUUCUGAUGAUGAUUUGAAUUUAUUUGAUGCACUCCCCAUAUUAGCCAUGCUCAAACAAUCUUCAAAUCCACUCCCUCCUAUUUCUGAGUCCCAACCAGCUGCACAAACCACCUCUCCUCCACAUUCCCCAAGGUCUUCAUUUUUUCAACCUUCUCCUACUGAAGCACCUAUCUGGAAUUUGCUCCAGAACCAACCCUCUAGGCCAGAUGAACCAACCUCUCCCAUUACCAUCCAGUACAACCCAUUAACUUCUGAACCCAUCAUCCAUGAGCAACCAGAGCCUAACCAAACAGAACCUGGACCCAGAACCUCUGAUCACUCUGUCCCAAGAGCAUCAGAACGUCUGGCUCCCAGAACCACGGAUACAGACUCUUCCACAGCCCUUACACCUGUAUCCUUCCCAACAAAUGUUGCUGACUCUUCUCCUUCCAACAACUCUGAAUCCCUUCGAAAAUUCAUGGAAGUUAGAAAAGAAAAGGUGUCUACCUUAGAAGAAUAUUACCUCACUUGUCCAAGCCCUAGGAGAUAUCCUGGCCCUAGACCUGAACGUCUAGUUGACCCAGAUGAACCUAUCUUGGCCAAUCCUUUACAUGAGGCAGACCCUUUGGCUCAACAAGCUCACCCUGCCCCUAACCAACAAGAGCCUGUUCAACCAGAACCUGAACCAGAACAAUCUGUGUCUAACCACUCCUUAGUUAGAUCACCCCAUCCUCUGGUUGAAACUUCAGAACCUCACCUUGGAACCUCUGAACCAAAUGCUCAAAUGUUUAACAUUGGCUCUCCACAAGGUGCCUCUGAAGCUCACAGCAGCAAUCACCCAGCCUCUCCUGAAACCAACCUCUCUAUAAUUCCUUACACUCACCUCCGACCCACAUCUCUCUCUGAGUGCAUCAAUAUUUUCUAUCAUGAAGCCUCAUUGAUGCUACGCAAUGUGCAAGGUCAGACUGACCUAAGCGAGAAUACUGAACAUGUGGCUGAAGAGUGGAACAAUCUGAGCACUUGGCUAGUGGCUCAAGUUCCAGUUAUGAUGCAGCUCCUGCAUGCAGAGGGAAGUCAGAGGAUCGAGGCUGCAAAGCAAAGGCUUGCUAGAAGGGUGGCUCUUCAUGAACAAGAACAGAGACAUAAGCUACUUGAAGCUAUUGAAGAAGCCAAAAGAAGGAAAGAACAAGCAGAAGAAGCUGCACGUCAAGCAGCAGCUCAAGCUGAACAAGCCAGAUUAGAGACAGAACGACUUGAAGCUGAGGCUGAAGCUCUUAGAUGCCAAGCACUUGCACCCGUAGUUUUUACUCCUGCUGCUUCUGCUUCCACUCCAGCCCCUCACGCUGCUCAGAAUGUUCCUUCUAGUUCUACACAGCCAAACUCGUCCAGACUCGACAUUGUGGAACAACGUCUUGACGCUCAUGAGUCUCUGCUGAUUGAAAUGAAGCAAAUGAUGAUGGAACUUCUGCGUCGAUCUGAUAAACCCUAGCUUUAGGAUCUCUUCGUUUUGAUUUCUUUUUCUUUAUCUGUGUUUUAUUUCGUUAACCUCUGGCUCUUUCUUGUUAAUCUUUACUUUGCUCGUUUGUGAUUAUCUAUGCAUAUAUAUAUAUAUAUAUCUGACAUUAUGUUUGCAAUUUUUUUUAUUAUUAUUCAUCAUAACCGCUUUUACAUCAUACAUUUUCUCUCUUUUUCCUAAAAUCCUAGAAUGGAGGAUCCCUCCUCAUUCUUCUGCACUCCUGGCGCUGCUCUGACCUCUCCUUCUCCAGACGCUCCAGUGCAUACUGGAUGUUGUUGAGCCUGUCUUUUAGCUCAUCCCUCUCCAGAAUCUCUUAUGCAGUCUUGAGCUUCUUUUCCAAGAUCUCUUUUUCUUCCAGCAGCUUUAGUUCAAGCUGGCUGAGUUCUUGCACCUCCUCCACGAAGGCGAGAAAUUCCCUCAAGUCUCUCUUCAACUCUGGACGCAGGUCCUCCUCCAGCAGUGUCCGUGUUAGCUCUGAGAUGGUUGUUGUACCCUCUGGAUGCCUAAUGUUGAGAAACAAGUCCUCCUCAAAGGCUCUCUUUCUCAGCUCCUCUAAUGCGAUCAUGUCUGACGCCAUUUUUCUCUGGUAUGAUGUUGUGAAGCUUACCCCUCUCUCCAACGCUUUAUAUAGGCUUCACUUUCUCUCUGAAAGUUAAUGCUCCUACAGUUUCUCGAGGUUAAGUUCUUGGUAACUGACCCUCCUCUUUACUCCCUUGGCCGGUGGUAAACGUUCUUAUCUUGCAUUAACUCUUCUAUUUAUUUCGCCUAACUCUGAUUCAUGCAUCGUUUUCAUUUUCUUUAAACUUAGACCUUCUCUAAGGGGGAGUACCUUGUACUUCAAGCUAAGUUUUUCACACCCCAAGCUUUUUGCUUAUGACAAAAAGGGGGAGUAAACCCAGUUUUUGAUGUGUAAGAUGUGUUAGUGUGAUUUAUUUUUCUUUUGGAGAAUUUAAGAGUUCCACCUUUAUGACCAUAGAUGUGUCACUGGGCAAAUACAAGGAAUACAUUUCACUUCUUCUGAAGUGAUUCUAAUUUGACUCUGAUACCCAAGACUCUGAUACCUUGUCCGUGACUCUGAUUACUUAUGCGCUCUGAUUACUCUAUUUUCAUCUAUGUCAUAAGUUUUUCACUCUGAACUCUUAUAUCAUUUAGCUCAGAAUCUAGACUUUACUAAUGUUUUCAUCAAGUAUUAGAUUCAGGGGGAGCUAAGCUCAGAAUCAAGCAGUGACUUGAAUUCAGAAUGAGCAAGAUAAACUAUUCACAUCAGGAUAAGUCUUGUUCUAUAUCUCUAAACUCUGAGUGAAUUCAGUUUAAUGUUUAAGAAUUGUUCAUCAAAAAUCUUAGUUUUGUCAUCAUCAAAAAGGGGGAGAUUGUAAGAUCAAGUUUUGAUCUAGUAGUACAACUCUAUGUUUUGAUGAUUACAAGUUAACCUUUUGAUAUGAACAAUUGUGGUACUCUAACGUGUUUUUCUGAGUGUGCUAUUCACAGGCUCUGACCUCAACUCAAUCUCACACAAAUCAGAAGCACUGUGUAUAAAGAGCGACCCAAGCAACGCUUUCGCAUUCACCAUGUUCAGUAUGAACAGUGGAAAAGCUUCAGAAGUUCUGAAGUUAUACAAACUCUGAUGUGGACUCAGUCACUAGAAGUUCUGAAGAUUCAGAAGGUCUGAUAACCAAGAAACACUGAAGGCUCAGAUAUUCUGAUGGUGUAGAAGACUCUGAAGAUCCAGAAGCUGAUUAGUGAAAUUCUGAUGUCCAGAAGCAAGAUACUCUGAAGACCAUGUACUUCCCUCUGAGUUCAGAAUCAGAAGAAACAAUGGUCAGAGGAUCUGGGCUUUCCCUCUGACUCUGAUCAACCGGCUUCACAAGUUCCAACAUGAAGCUUUCUCCUGAUCAGAAGUCUCCUAGGUUUAAAGGUCAAGUCGCUAUCCAAGUACAAAAGCAACUGUACCUUCCUGACGACCUACCUAACAGUCUCAGACACAGCAGAAGCUGGAUUUUCCAGAACUGCCCUCCAACGGUAGCAUUUCCCAUGCAACGCUCAACCCUAAUCCUUGGAGUAUAUAAAGAGGCUGAAGACUGAAAGAAGCGGCUAGAAGCAUUCACAUACGCGCAAGACAAAUUCAAAUUCUUCUAAGCUUUCUUUCAUCUGAAAUUCAUUGAGUUUACUAUUAGCUUUUUAGAAGCAAAUCUCUUGUAAACAAUUCUUUGAUAAACAGUUUGUUUAGUUCCUUUAGGAGAUCAAGGUUGAUCGGAUCCUAGAGAAGACUAAGAGAGUGAAUCUUAGUGUGAGCUAAGUCAGUGUAAUUGUUAGUCACUUGUAGGUUUCAAGUGCAGUUGUAACUCUUACCUGAUUAGUGGAUUGCCUUCAUUCUAAGAAGGAAGAAAUCACCUUAACGGGUGGACUGGAGUAGCUUGAGUGAUUUAUCAAGUGAACCAGGAUAAAAUCCUUGUGUGCUUUUCUAUCUCUUAUCUUUAGCACUUAAGUUCUCGAAAGAUUUGUCAAAAUCUUUAAGGUGGAAGCUUUAUCUUGAAAACGUUAUUCAAACCCCCCCCCCCCCUUUCUACCGUUUUUCAUACCUUCAGCCUUGUGGCAGAGGGUGCUCUGUGGGAAAUAUGGGUUGCCUAUGGAAUUAAUAUCUUUUAAUUUGGAUAUUUUAGCAUCUACAAAUAUGUCUACCCCUCUAGCUGAUGUGUGUGCAAUUUAGCGCGAAAGUGGGCUGGUUGGGAGUGUGUUCAAAGAUGGCUUAGCUUGUCAAGUUGGAAGGGGGUAGGUGUUUUAUUCUGGAUAGAUCAUUGGGCGGGCUCAGGUCCUUUUAGGCUUGUAUUCCCUCGUGUAUUUGCUCUAGCUGCGAAUAAGAGAGCUACGAUCAGGGAGUGUGGGGUGGUUACAGGGUCUCAGUGGGUAUGGAAUAUAGCUUUUUUGAGGGAAUUUUUGGGCUGGGAACGUCAACAGUAUGAAGAGUUACAGUGUGUCCUGAAUCAGUUGGUUCCAAAGCAGGGAGCCCGAGCAGAAGCAGACAUCAUGGUAUGGAAGCAUGACAAUAUGUUUACUGUUAAAUCUCUAUGUUCUGUAGUUGAGGCACGAUGGUUCACAGAGGACGGUUGGUCAAUUCCUAAAGUAUUAAGGCCUAUUUUACCUUCAAAAAUUGUUUUAUUUUUGUGGCAGGUGCAGAAGAAUAGAAUUGCUACUAAAGAGAAUUUGCAGCGUCGUGGUGUAGUUUUGGAGGGGGGGGGGUGGAGUGUGUUUUUUGCAUGACUGCACCUGAGACUGUGGCACAUCUUUUUAUGCAUUGUCCUAAGGUUUGGCAUUUAUGGACAUCAGUGUUAUUUAGGGAAGGAGUUUGGUGGGUGAUGCCAGAAUCGAUUCUGGAUCUUUUGGAAGUUUGAGUAUCAAUGCGGAGAACAACCUCAAGAGUUUUGUGAGAUUUGAUUCCCUAUGCGAUGUGUUGGGUAUUAUGGUUGGCUAGAAAUAAUGUGAUUUUUAAUGACAAACUUUUUGAUGCAGAGGAAGCAUGGGAGUCUCAUAUAUUUAUGAUGUUCACCUGGAUAAAAGCAUGGUGGAAGGAUUGUCCAUAUGGGGCAGAUCAAUUUGCUAGAGGUUUUACAAGAAUUGAUAUUCAAGGGAAGGUUGGUUUUCGUCAAGUGGUACCUUGGAAACCUCCUCACGGUAUGAAUUUAAAGUUUAAUGUUGAUGGGUCUUUUCAAUCUGGCAGUGUUGGAAUUGGUGGAAUUCUAAGGAAUAGUGGGGGAAGUGUGAUAGGUAAAUUCUCAAGGAAAGUUGAGGUUCAGAGAGCUGAUGAGGCUGAGGUUUUGGCCAUUUUGUAUGCUCUCCUGUUUUGUCAGCAAUACAUGAUUUUUUCAGUGGAAGUGGAGAGUGAUUCUAUUCUUGCAGUUGGUUGGGUGAGAGGGGAAAAGCAGAGACCUUGGAAGCUGGCAAAUGAGCUAAACAUGAUUGAUUACUUGAUGCCACUUGUCAAGUGCAUUGGAGUGAAGCAUAUAUUACGGGAAGGGAAUGCAGAGGCAGAUGAGUUGGCCAAGCAAGGUUGCUUUUGUAUGGAACCGGUUUGGUUAUUCUUAGGGUGCUAGAUACAUUGGUGCAAUUCACUGUUUUAGUUUUCUUUUUGCUGUAGGAAAUCUAAUAUAAGCUGAAGAACAAAUUGGUGCAUUUGGUAGCUUAUGUAGAUUCUUGGUUGCUGAACUUGCUGCUGAGUUGUAGAUUGACGAAUGCGUCACAAAUGGAAUUUUUGUAAUUGAUGUCGUUGUUGAAGUAAACAAUGCUGUUGCUGUUUUUGCUGUUGUUGUUGGCUGUUAUCACUGUUACUGCUGUUUCUGUUUUGCUGUUGCUGUUGAAAUUCUGUUGCUGUUGCUGUUGCUGUUGCUGUCGCUGUUGGCUGUUGCUGAAAUUCGAAAAUUAUAACAAUGCUGGUGCUGUUGCUGUUGCUGAAUUCCGAAAAUAAUAAGCUUGUUGGUGCGGUUUUGUUGUUGUUGCAGCUGUAUUAUGGUGCUGUUCUUGUCUGAUGUUUGUUGCACUACGAACAUGCAUAGUCUGGCUCUUCUGGGAUCUUUAAUUUCCUGUACUUCUCCCAACUACGCUAUAUUAGCUUUUUCAUGCUUGUAGGGGCUAUUUUCGUUUGAAUCUUGUUGUGAAAUGGUUAUCCCAAGAUUGUGGUACUCUUUUUCCUUGCUAGGUUUUUAUCCCAUUGGGUUUUUCCUAGCAAGAUUUUAAUGAAGCUCUCUCUUGAGAAUUCGGUUGUGCCAUUUUGCAGGUUGGUGGUGGGUUUUUAUUUCUCAGCCUCAUGUAACUUGUACUUUGCCUGUUUUGCUUCUUUGGCUCAGGCUAUUUCAUUAUUAAUAUAUCUUUCAUUUUCAAAAAAAAAAUUUAUUCAAUUUUUUAAAACAAAAAAUAGUUUUUAGAAACUUUAAUAAAAAAGGCCCUUAAUAAUUUCAUUAUUAUAAAUUCUUAUAAGUAUAAUAUUUUAUCAAAAUAAAUAAAUAAUGGAAUUGAAAAAUAAAUUCAAUUUUUUUUUUAUCUUUAACGGAUGUUCUCGCCCGUUUGAGAAAGUAAAAAAAUAUAGGUAUUCCUUACAAAAAAGACUUUUUUAAGAUCGGACUUGUAUUCUAAUUAUUACCGGAUCUAGUUUGGUUACUACUAGACUAAUACUUAUUAGUAUGCAUACAAUGUAUAAAAUGUUUAUUGGUUUAAGAAACAUUUUUUUGGAUAAAAAAUGCAUAAUUUGUUUAUCAGAGAAUACUUUUUGGUUUAAUUUUAGUAUUUAAAUUAAGAAAAAGUGUUUGUGCAAAUAUAUAGUAGCAUAACACAUGUGUUUGUGCAAAUAUAUAGUAGCAUUCCUCCUCUAAGAAAAACACACGUGAAUAAGAAUAAAGACAAGAUUAAAAAAAAAAUUAACCGUUUUUCAUUGAAAAAUGAAUAUAAAUAAUGACUAUUUUUCACUUGGCACACACAAUUUUUCCUUUACAUUCUAUUCUCUGAAGAAGACUCAAGGUUGAGCAUGUAGCCCUCCCCUCAAUUUUCAUCCACCAUUGGAGUUAAGCUUACACUUACUUAUUGCUUGCACAACACAAGGUCAUAGUAGUUUUCCUUUCACUUUGAGGUUCUUAGAUGGUACCAUGUAGAUUGAUUGUGAUAUUAUAGAGCUUAUAGGGGUUACUCAAUUCAAUGUUUACUUUACGGUGCAAAUGGGUAUUUUUUUCUUAUGACCUAUGUUUAAAAAGAUUGAUGCUCGCAAGGUGUUUGUUAAAAUGCUUAGUUAAUAGAAUGUUUAGCUAGUGUGUGAUUGGGUAAGAGAUUGUUAAGGAUCUUUGUAAAUUUGAUGUCAAAAGAUUUUUCCAAUUUGAGUACCCCAAUUAAAUGGUUUGCAUCCAAUUUGAAUAUAUAUACUUCCAAGAUUAAGGUAGCAAGAAACAGAAAUAAAGAAUAGGGGAAGAAACAGAGAUACGAAAAACAGGGAAAGGGAAAAAAGCAUUGGUGAAGCAUGGGUGAGUGAUAUCGUUGUGACCAUGAAGUAUGUUCCAGACUUUAUUUACCUAUGUCGUUGUGAUGCCAAGCAUCUUCCUGACUUCCCUUUAGAGUAUAAUUUAAAGAGCAUGUUAUAUAGCUAUUUGAUAUUCAAUCUAUCAUAGUCGGUGCACUGUUAAGUAUCCUCUUCAUAUGUACCUUAGAUGCAUGAAAUGCACAUCAUAUUGUUUUUUCCAAAUCUAUUGUUUGUUUUACUGUGCAAAUGAGCAGUUGUUUGUUGAAAUGCUUAGUGCGUGAUUGUGUUGAGUGAUUAUCUUUGCAAAUUUGAUGCAAAUACAAAUUCUAAAUCAAGGUCAACAGUGGAGCACAUUUCAAACAAGAAAAGGAAGCGCGGUUCAAACAAGAAAAAGAAAGAUGCCAAGAAGAAGAAGAUUUUUUUUCAAAGAAGACAAAGGGGACAAAUGACUAUUUAUAACAUAGCAAUACAAUAAUUACUCUUAUUUUGUAGGUUGAAGCCAAGACUCUAAUCAUUAGCAUAUUGUACACUAAAUCCCCAGAGAAUGAUAGGUUGCAAUGGUGCCAUCAGGAUGCGUUAACACUCAAAGAAAAACUAACACCACUUGGAUUCAUGGACACAAAUAUAUUGAUGAUGUCAGAUAGUUACUAAAGCAAAGAAGAAUCAGAAUGUCCUAGUAUACAUUGGAAGUCAUGGUGUUCUUGAUGAUUAUAACAAUGAGAUUUUAGCAUCAGAUGGAGACGUGGUUAAGGGUAAGUAUUUUGCACAAUUUGGAAAUUUGUUACAAAACCAUUGAGUAAUACAACUUUUUUCCUUUGACAGAUGAGCUAUUCUCUCAAGAAGACUCAAGGUUGAGUAUGUAGCCCUCCCCUCCACUUCCAUCCACAAAUGGAGUCAAGCUUGCACUUACUUAUCCCUUGCACAACACAACGUAAUAGUAGUUCUCAGAUCAUACCAUGUAGAUUGAUUGUGAUAUUGUAGAGCUUAUAGGGGUUACUCAAUUCAAUGUUUACUUUACGAUGCAAAUGAGAAUUUUUUUCUUAUGACCUAUGUUUAAAAAGAUUGAUGCUCGCAAGGUGUUUGUUAAAAUGCUUAGUUAAUAGAAUGUUUAGCUAGUGUGUGAUUGGGUAAGAGAUUGUUAAGGAUCUUUGUAAAUUUGAUGUCAAAAGAUUUGUCCAAUUUGAGUACCCCAAUUAAAUGGUUUGCAUCCAAUUUGAAUAUAUAUACUUCCAAGAUAAAGGUAACAAAAAACAGAAAUAAAGAACAGGGGAAGAAACAGAGAUACGAAAAACAGGGAAAGGGAAAAAAGCACAGGUGAAGCAUGGGUGAGUGAUAUCAUUGUGACCAUGAAGUAUGUUCCAGACUUCCAUUAUAUCACAAAUGCAACGUUGUGAUCAUGAUUGAGAAAGUGUCACAAAUGCUUUGCCUAUGUCGUGGUGAUGCCAAGCAUCUUCCUGACUUCCCUUUAGAGUAUAAUUUAAAGAGCAUGUUAUAUAGCUAUUUGAUAUUCAAUAUAUCAUAGUCGGUGCACUGUUAAGUAUCCCCUUCAUAUGUACCUUAGAUGCAUGAAAUGCACAUCAUAUUGUUUCUUCCAAAUCUAUUGUUUGUUUUACUGUGCAAAUGAGCAGUUGUUUGUGGAAAUGCUUAGUGUGUGAUUGUGUUGAGUGAUUAUCUUUGCAAAUUUGAUGCAAAUACAAAUUCUAAAUCAAGGUCAACAAUGGAGCACAUUUCAAACAAGAAAAGGAAGCGCGGUUCAAACAAGAAAAAGAAAGAUGCCAAGAAGAAGAAGAGAGCCGAUUGUAAAGUAGCAUCAACUUCAGCUUCAGUGGAGCAGGUAUACCUUCUUUUUGUCCAAAGAAGAAAAAGGGGACAAAUGACUAUUUAUAACAUAGCAAUACAAUAAUUACUCUUAUUUUGUAGGUUGAAGCCAAGACUCUAAUCAUUAGCAUAUUGUACACUAAAUCCCCAGAGAAUGAUAGGUUGCAAUGGUGCCAUCAGGAAGCGUUAGCACUCAAGGAAAAGCUAACACCACUUGGAUUCAUGGACACAAAUAUAUUGAUGAUUUCAGAUAGUUACUAAAUCAAAGAAGAAUCAGAAUGUCCUAGUAUACGUUGGAAGUCAUGGUGUUCUUGAUGAUUAUAACAAUGAGAUUUUAGCAUGAGAUGGAGACGUGGUUAAGGGAAAGUAUUUUGCAAAAUUUUGAAAUUUGUUAUAAAACCAUUGACUAAUAAAAUUUUUUCCUUUGACAGAUGAGCUAUUCUCUGAAGAAGACUCAAGGUUGAGUAUGUAGCCCUGCCCUCCAUUUCCAUCCACCAUUGGAGUCAAGCUUGCACUUACUUAUUUCUUGCACAACACAAGGUAAUAGUAGUUUUCCUUUCACAUAUGUGUUUGGUCCUAAGACUAAAAGGAAGCGCCCCUGCCUCUUGGCUUUUGAUUAUCAGUCCUUAGCUAAGAAAGCUCAUGUUGCACAAGGUAAAACUUAUGGCUGGCGUGGCUUAUUUCUGAUUUAGCUUUAGCAUGUUGGAUUCUUUGUGUUUUUCAAUUAACUGUGAUCCGUGGAAUUAUAGCUUCAUGUGGCAGUACUUGUUUUUUGGGAUAGGUCACCACUUCAACCGUUAAUGUAAUUGUUGUUAUAAUCAUUUUCCUAUAUCACUUUGCAGACGCUUUUGAAGAAAAGUAUGGUGCAGGUGCUAGUGGAACUCCACAAGCUAAUGAAGCAGAUGGAUUUAUAGAUUUACUGGGGCAUACCAUGUUUCAGAAAGGUCAAAGCAAGCACAUUUCAGGUAAGCUCUACAAGGUCAUCGAUUCUUCAGAUGUUGUUGUCCAGGUAAAAUCUCAUCUUUUGCUGUAAUUUUGUUCAACUUUCUUCAUAUCACUAUCAUCAUGCAAGUGUGUUAUCCCAAGUAUUGAUGUUUAUGUAUCAUAAUGCAGGUUCUAGAUGCAAGGGAUCCUCAAGGCACACGGUGUUACCAUUUAGAGAAGCUAUUCAAAGAAAAUUGCAAGUACAAGCACAUGGUGCUUUUACUGAACAAGGUAAUGGCUAAUUCGCAUCAUUGUAUUUGUAUCUUCUUGUUAUUGUUCUAAAACUUCACUGAACAUCAUAACUUGCUAUUUUCGGCAUUUUAAAUCAUCAUUUUUUUAGUGUGAUCUGAUUCCGGCUUCGGCAACAAAAGGGUGGCUUAGAGUUUUGUCAAAAGAAUAUCCAACUCUAGCAUUCCAUGCAAGCAUUAACAAGUCCUUCGGAAAGGUAUAUUUAGUAUACCUUAGUUAUUUGUUUAGUUUAUCCAUCAAUUUACUGAAUGUGGUAUCCUUCAUGAAGGAAAUGAAAGAUUAUUGAAGUUGGAGAUAACACAUCUUGCUUUCUCUCAUUUAACUAGUCCAUUCAUUCAUCAAUUUGAUAUUUUCUUAAUGGUCAUUAUCAUGCAAUAGGGCUCACUUCUAUCGGUUCUGAGACAAUUUGCUCGAUUGAAAAGUGAUAAGCAAGCAAUAUCUGUUGAAUUUAUUGGAUAUCCAAAUGUUGGGAAGUCAUCAGUGAUUAAUACGUUGCGAACGAAAAAUGUAAAUAUUCUUUCUCCUUAACUGCUUCAGGCUUCUGUUUAAUUUGUUUAGUAUGGAAGCUUGAAAUUAAUGAAAGCAUAGAAGCGCAAAUUUAUCCUCUAUGGAAUCAAUAUUUAAAACUUUGUUGUCGAAUGAGCAUUUUAUCAUGUUGAUUGACGUGUGCCAUUAUGUGUCAAAGGUCGGCAAGGUUGCUCCAAUUCCAGGGGAAGCAAAAGUAUGGCAGUAUAUAACUCUUACAAAGGUCGGCAAGGUUGAUCGACUGUCCAGGUGUUGUUUACCAAAACAAGGAUUCUGAAGUAGAUGUUGUGCUGAAGGGCGUGGUAGGUUUCCUCCUGUGUUCUUCAAUUUUGUUUGUCAUUCACCUUAAUAAAUAAUAUUAUGGUCAGACUUUUUUUUUGUUUAAUGUUAUUUCUGCCGAACACAAUGGCUUUGGUUGUUGUAAUUUGUUUUUAGUGCUUUUCAUUUUAUUAUUUAGGGAUAUGGUGUCAACCAAUCAACCCGGUAGUCUCCAGUGAUAUAUAUUUUGUUGAGUUGUUGUCUAGUGGUAUAGUAUACAUUUUUAUAUGUAAAACUUAGUCCCAUAAUGAGCUAUUCUUAGGGUUUGCAAGACUGAAUAUGGGCUACAGGGCUAGUGGAUUAUCUCUUUAACCCAGGUUCAAACACACUAGUGGUAUCUGUGGCAUUCUUGCCCACAAAAUAUGAUUAUGAUCAAUAUUGCUUCUCCCCUUAUGUUGAUUUGUUAGAUUGGUGACUAAUUGUUAUUGAUAUGUUCCGAUGUAUUGAGUUAUAGUGAGUUCACCUACCAACCUAAUGAUCAUAGCUUUUAUUGGGUUGUUUUAUGUUACAAAUUCUAAAUCUGUUUGCCUGGGCUCAUGCUUGUUUUGCUUGCUCAAUGAAUAAUUUACUCCUGCUUUCAUAUUCUAACAGAAAUUCGUGUGAAAUUUAUUUUGCAUAUUAGUUGUGUAGAAUGUAGAUAUGUUGUAGUAGUAAUAAUACAAAUAAUAAUAACAAUAAUUGUAGAGUGUACAAUUAUCAUCAUCAUUAUAGUCUUGGCUUAGUACUUGAUUUAUUUUCAGGUACGUGUAACAAACUUGAAAGAUGUUGCGGAUCGUAUAGGUGAGGUUUUGAAACGUGUGAUGAAGGAGCACUUGCACAGAGCAUAUAAAAUGAAAGAGUGGUAUGUUUUCUUGUCUCCUAACUCCAUGGUGACAAGUAGGUCGCUCUAGAGUGUUCUCACCUUUUGUAAUUGUGUUGGCAGAAAACGACCUAAGUUUGCAAUCUUUGGCAUUGAGAAAUCUGUGUUAUUGUAGUUGUUAUAUAAGAACACCAUUAUCAUACUGUGUCAUCCAACCAACCCCAUGAAAUUGACCUAAGUUUGCAAUCUUUGUCAACUACUCCUUCCGUUCCAAUGCAUUUUUUUUCUCACUUUCUUACUUUUAUAUCAUCAUUUAGUUUUAUAUCUCUUCCCUACCACCUUCAAUUGUCACCUAUCACAACUCUCACUAUGCACUUAAAAAAUAAUUAUUUUUCUCUCUACUUAAUAUAGCUAAACUUUAAAGCGUAUUUUAGUCAACUAUUUUAUCAAAUAGUGAUUUCUUAAUUCUCGUGCAUAACCUUAAACAACAUAAAUAUUGAAACGGUGGGAGUGCAAAACUAUAGACUUUUGAAAAUAGAAAUUGUUUAAAAUUGACAGCCUGAGACUAUUAUAUCAGGCUGCAACCUUUUGCUCAUUUGGUCUGAAUCGUAAAAUNNNNNNNNNNNNNNNNNNNNNNNNNNNNNNNNNNNNNNNNNNNNNNNNNNNNNNNNNNNNNNNNNNNNNNNNNNNNNNNNNNNNNNNNNNNNNNNNNNNNNNNNNNNNNNNNNNNNNNNNNNNNNNNNNNNNNNNNNNNNNNNNNNNNNNNNNNNNNNNNNNNNNNNNNNNNNNNNNNNNNNNNNNNNNNNNNNNNNNNNNNNNNNNNNNNNNNNNNNNNNNNNNNNNNNNNNNNNNNNNNNNNNNNNNNNNNNNNNNNNNNNNNNNNNNNNNNNNNNNNNNNNNNNNNNNNNNNNNNNNNNNNNNNNNNNNNNNNNNNNNNNNNNNNNNNNNNNNNNNNNNNNNNNNNNNNNNNNNNNNNNNNNNNNNNNNNNNNNNNNNNNNNNNNNNNNNNNNNNNNNNNNNNNNNNNNNNNNNNNNNNNNNNNNNNNNNNNNNNNNNNNNNNNNNNNNNNNNNNNNNNNNNNNNNNNNNNNNNNNNNNNNNNNNNNNNNNNNNNNNNNNNNNNNNNNNNNNNNNNNNNNNNNNNNNNNNNNNNNNNNNNNNNNNNNNNNNNNNNNNNNNNNNNNNNNNNNNNNNNNNNNNNNNNNNNNNNNNNNNNNNNNNNNNNNNNNNNNNNNNNNNNNNNNNNNNNNNNNNNNNNNNNNNNNNNNNNNNNNNNNNNNNNNNNNNNNNNNNNNNNNNNNNNNNNNNNNNNNNNNNNNNNNNNNNNNNNNNNNNNNNNNNNNNNNNNNNNNNNNNNNNNNNNNNNNNNNNNNNNNNNNNNNNNNNNNNNNNNNNNNNNNNNNNNNNNNNNNNNNNNNNNNNNNNNNNNNNNNNNNNNNNNNNNNNNNNNNNNNNNNNNNNNNNNNNNNNNNNNNNNNNNNNNNNNNNNNNNNNNNNNNNNNNNNNNNNNNNNNNNNNNNNNNNNNNNNNNNNNNNNNNNNNNNNNNNNNNNNNNNNNNNNNNNNNNNNNNNNNNNNNNNNNNNNNNNNNNNNNNNNNNNNNNNNNNNNNNNNNNNUAACAGCUGCCAUCCUGAAAAAAUUCUGAAAAUGAUCCUGCAUAGCCUCUUUGAUUUCCCCUGGGGUAGUUAAGUCUCUUCCCUGAUAACUUAACUGGGUAAUAUUUUUUUUUUACUAUUCUUGCCUUACAGAUGCGAUGAAAGUACUUUGUAUUCCGAUCACCCUCCUUCAACCACUGCACCCUUGAUUUCUGACGCCAAGUUCUUACUGCGCCCCCCCUUGCUCCUCCAUUGCCCCCACACUUCCUGCAAUCUAUUCUCUAAACAAACAAUUUUUUCCACCCCCCAUGCCCCUUUCCCCUUGCGCCACUCUCUUAUUUUCCCCCUCAAACCCUUUGCGGACCUCCACCAAUUUUCGACCACCUCAUAAAAUCCAUCGUCAUCCACCCAAUGAUUAAAAUAGUGGAAAGGUUUAGGGCCAGAGUCAGGUUCACCAAACACCAAACCUACAACUCUAUGAUCAGAAACAUUCCAUGCAAAAACAGAUUGUGAAAUAUUCGAAAAAGAUAACAUCACCUCGUCAGACACGAGCCAUCUGUCCAAUCGACUCCAUAGGCCAUCGUUGCGACUUGAGUACCACGUGUACUUGCCAUUUAGCAGGGGUAGGUCUGAUAAGUUAGUAUCAGUGGCAAAUUGUUGAAAAACCACAUCGCCUACAUCAAGAACUCCUUCUGAAGACCGCUCCGAUCCUAGUAGAACAGCGUUAAAAUCGCCCCCAAGAAACAUCAUACCUGUAUGACUUAGCACAUGCACUUUCAAGGCCUCAAAACAUACUCUACGUUCCGGCAAAGAAUGGGGACCAUAAACAUUCCCCACUAGAACUGGGUGUUCAUAAUUUGGAACUUUUACAGACAAAAAAAUAAAAUUAGUGUAUGUCACCAUUGACUGAACUUGAAAACUGCUUUCCUUCCACAGACACAUUAGGCCACCUGCUGCUCCCGCUGACUGAACCUCGACAUGAUUCAUCUGCAAACUUUGCGUCCACUGUUCAACUGUUCGUUGCCUCUGCUCAUUCAAUUUUGUUUCUUGUAAUAGAAUCAAUUCUGGUUUCAAUUGUUGAAGUGCUUUUUUGACAGCCUCUCUUUUCGUAGUUCCGCCUAGCCCAGGCACAUUCCAUGUGAGCCAAGGCCCCGACAUAUCAAUUGAGGUGAGGGUGAUUUUCACGGAUUUGAGCUUCUAAACCUCUCAGCAUCAAAGCUUCUGAUCCGCGUGGUUUUAGUCCCAACUCCUUUCCUAUCAACCAUGCUCUCUGCGAACGCGUUGUCACCCCAUCUUCACCUGGAAUUGGUUCUAGAAAAUCAUUCGGCAAUGCUAUGGGUUUAUUCUUAAUUUCUUUUGGACGCCCCCUUUGCGAACUUUUUUGAGAUGAAUGUGUAUUUGGAGAAUUGAGGGGAGUCGGAGCGCUUGAUACUGUGGGUAUGACCGACAAGGAUUUCUUUGGCGUCUGUGGUUCCUUGUUCUCACGUGACAGCAACUUACUUGAUGUGGGGGAAGAAACUUGCCGAACAAUUUGAUGAGAAGAGGUUCUGAUGAAGGUUUCACGUGUUACGUGAGUUUCAUCCUCUAGUGCAGAAGUUGGCGGGNNNNNNNNNNNNNNNNNNNNNNNNNNNNNNNNNNNNNNNNNNNNNNNNNNNNNNNNNNNNNNNNNNNNNNAGCGAGAUAUAUAUAUAUAUAUAUAUAUAUAUAUAUAUAGAGGAUGUAUCUAGUGAGAGAGAGAUUUCUUAUGUGAGAGUGAGAUGAUUGAUUUUCUACCCUUAGAUCAAAAUCAAUGGCUUAGAUUAUAACACUUAAACUUUACACACUGACAGUGCAGUGUAAAAUUUUUUUCACCGUCAACCAAUCAGUUUUCAAGGAUGUGAGAAAAUCUCUCUUUUUAUUUAAUUUCAUUAAUUGACGUGGCACAUCAUUGAAAUCUGAUUGGUUGACGGUGUCGGUGCAUCAUCAUUUUUCUCUUUUAUUUUUCAAAAUUUAGUUGUUAUAAGCGCUACCUGAAUGAAAUAAUAUUCAUUCACAGUCUUCAACGGCUAGUUUCCAUAUCAAAGUGACCGUUUGAGAGCAUCGUCUCAAAAAUUCAAAACCAGGAAAACAAACAACACAGACACACCACCAAGAGUUGAGUUCUUUUCUAAGCUAGAAAUUCUAACAGACACAUCCAAUUCAACAAUCCGAAGAUUCAGAAAAAAAUGGUGUACUCAAACUACACACCAACCUACUACUCAACACUCCAUGACUCAAUCACCUCACUCUGCAAGACCCUUCUCCCUUUCAGCUUCAAGAAACGAUCAUUGCUCUCAGCAGAGCAAAGGUUGUCGAAGCUGCAAUCCGACAACCUCAAAUGGCAGCAGGAGUCUUUCCACCAGAUUUUGAACUUGAUGGGUCUUCACGAAGAAGGCAUUGUGGCUGAAACUGAGGUUUCAGCUUUCAGAACCCACUUGCUCGAGACUCUCAUCGCUUCGCCUCCGGAACAAGAGCAUCCUGUUAUACUCAGAGACAAGCUUCUGUUUCUGCAGGAGCUUCUGUAUGCAAAGUGUGUUUCUGAAGAAGAGUAUCAUUCUUCUAAGAGACCUUUGCUUCAGAGAUUGGCUGUUCAAGGUGCUCAGAUUGAGGCUAAGGAUGUGAUCGUUGGUGUGAGGGCAGUGAGGCCUAGAGAGAUUUCGGAGGAAGAGUGGUCGGUUAUUGAUUUGAAGGAUGAUAAGGGAUUGAAGAUGAACAAGGAGAAUUUGAAUUGUAAGGGAAAAUCGAAUCAGGGGUCGGGUUUGAAGCAGAUUAAAGGGGCAGCCUCGGUUUUCGGCUUUGUUUCUCCUCACAAACCUGGGAAAAAUGGGGUGGAGAAGAGUGCUUUUGAAUCACCUUCUUUGCAAUUGAGGCAAUCCAGUGAAAACCCUUUUUGGAAUGCUGAGCCUAAUGGCAAUAAAAGUGAAGGUACAACAAUUCUCAUGGAGGAAAGUGGGCCCCCGGAAGCUGUGAAGGAAACCGGUGGCUCGGAGAAGUUGAAGAGGAAGCCAUUUAGGACUUUAUUUCACAGGGAGCAGAGGGAGGGAGUUGGUGGUGGAAGUGGUGGUGGUGGUCCUGAGCCAGAGCAAAGAGCAGGGAAACCAGUGAAGAAGCAAUGGGGGUUUGAUGGGUUCAAGAGAUGGAAGAGAAAUGAGGCAGAUGAUGAGACUGCUCCAUUGCCUCUGAAUGAGAGGUCUGAUAGUGGGGGACACUCAGCUUCCUCCCAGUCUCUUGCAAGAGUUCAUGGAGAGGGACCAGACACCAAGUUGUUGAAGAAGAAGUUACAUUCUGAUGGUUCUCCAUCUGAUUUCUUCAUAGAUAAGGUUUUAGAUCCUUCAUCCAUCAUCUCUUUCUAUAUUUCAAUCUAAUUUCCUUUUGAAAUUGAGCUAAUUUUUGGACAUGUUAAACAAAAUUCUUGUUCACUGUGAAUAGGUUUUGGGAGACAAGAUAAAGAAGGAGCUGACAAGAAUCCAGACAGAACUUAGCAGCACAAACCCAAAUCUUAAAUUCUCGUAAUUACUUUCCUUGCAUUUGGAAAACUGAUAUUAGUUAGUGCAUGUUUGGAUACACUAUGGAAAAUAGCUGUAAAACUAAGAUCACGGUGAACAGUCACAAAAGCUAAGGGAAAUUACUUCCAUCCAUAGUGAUUUUAGCUCACCAUGUAUCCAAACACGCACUUAGUUCUUUGCUUAGAAAUGUUACUUACUUUUGGCUGCAUUUGUUGUGAUAUCAGGAAUGAUCAGAUGGAAGCAAUUUCUACUAGAAUUCCAGUGGACAAGGCUGAUUUGAAAAAUUACUUUCCUAAGUGAGUCAACAUAACCCCACUUUUCAUGUUUCAAUUUUGGAUCACUUGACACUUUAUACAGUCUGAGAUCAGAGGAUUAGUGUUACUUACUGUGUACUUUCUUGUGUUUCUUUUGUGUGUUGAAGAUCAUGGUGUGACAGAUACGGUGAUGUGGUGCUGGACGUGGUGAAGAAGGAAUUCAAAAACCAUGUAGGAGAGAUGGAGAACAUGCGCAAUGUUGCUAGAGAAAAACAUGGCAGCAACUCAAGGCGGUGGACAACAUCUGAGGAUGAUGAAAAUAUUCAUCCAAAUCUUUUUGUUCAUCAUGAUAAUUCAGCUCGCAGCAGUAACAUCAAUCCAUUUUCUCAUGGUUAUGGAGAGAGCAAGUGGAACUAGAUUAAGCUGAAGUCUGAAUCAGCUUCUCUAGGAAAUCCAUAUGCAGUAAAGUAUUUGUUGUUAUAUUGUUAAGGCAAGCAAAGAGACUUGUAAGUACUGUCUAGAUCUUCAUUGACAAUCUUACUUUGAUGGUAUUAGUCUUUUUCACAGUUCUAUCAACUAUCAAGCAUUUCUAGUGCUAAGCCAUUUUUUUUCACCUUACAAUUUUAAAUGCAUAAUUUGAUUGUCUGUUUUAUUCCUUUCGUUGAAAUUUAUUUUCCUUGCAACAUUGCCAAAUCAAAAAAAUUUUAGUUUGAUGUUUCCUAGAUGGGAGUCUGAAGAACAAAUACUAUAGAUCCAAACAAGUUUCAUCAUAAAAUGGAUUCUUGCAUAGAGCACAAGCUCAUGAUAUAACUACUGUACUUGAACCGUGCUUGGAUGAUAGAUAAUGAAGGGAACAAAAGCAAUAAUGAGAAGAAAAACAAUUUCUUAUUUGGAAAUUAACAAUGUACAAGAGGCGAAUAGAACUUGAGAGGAACCAUUCCCAAUCAAUUCCCCCCCAAGACCAUGUUACAUGUUUGUUUCUCAGUUAAACACCAACAAAAGGCUAAAGUCCCUUUCAUGUUGGGGGCCAUGAGAAUUCAGGAUUUAGAAUUUCAAAGCUCCAAACUGUGGAUUUAAACUUAAAAACAAACAUGCAUUUUCUAUGUUGGGGUGAAAUGGGGAGGAAACAAAGAUUUUGCACCAUUUCUUAACUAUAUUCCUAAUCUAUCUUUCUUUCUUUUUUCCCCGUUUCCUUUGUAGUCAAUCCCCUCUUGUUUUGGUUGAUGAAAAAACAUCCCAACACAGUUUAAAUAUAAGGGUUUAUAGAUAUGAUUGCCAAGGCCCAAGGGUGACAUUGAUUUUAGACUAAAAUACACUUCAAACCAAUUUAGUCUUUCAAAUAAUUGUGAUCUCCAAUUAGUUCUUUGAAAAUUUAAAGCGACGACAAAAUAAUCCUUCCAUCCAAUUUGAUGUGACAUCAAUUCGAACCGUAUUGAUGAUAAAAAUAUUUGAAGGAUCAAAUUGAUGUUAGGUGUAUCUUUAGAUGACCCAGAUGGUACUUUAGUCUAUAGUUGAAUAUUUACAUCUAUGUACACAAUAUCAUUGAGACUGCACUACUGAGUAGGUAGCAGACAACUCUCCACAAACAUUGCCACGACAAAGAGGGCACACACUGUAAAAGAGGGAAGCAGAAAAAAAUGGUUAUUUAUGUAAUGGAAAUUGAUAGAUAUGAAAAGAAUGAACGAUUUUUGGUUACAGUGACAAUACCCAUGUAUUUCCUUAAGCCACUUGUCAACACACAACUUGUGGUACUCAUGGUUGCAAGGAAGAACUCGUAUUUGGUCCCCUUCUUCAUACUCAGCCAGGCAUAUGUGACAUCUACAAAAUUCAUUUAUUAAAUUUUGAUAAUAGUGGGAGAAGGAAGAACUUUUCAAGCAUUCAAAACCAACAAAAAAAAAGUAUCAUAACCACACUGACAGACUACAUAAGUGAAAAACUAGUUAGGCUAUGCUUGGAUUACACGUUGACACUUGUGCACACGGACGCUAGUACUCACUUCGAAACAAAAAGUGAAUGGAACUUUCUUUUGGAUUGAGAUGAAACUCAUGAAAGUUCAUUCACAUUACACUCGACUAGUAUCCAAACACACACUUAACUAUGGCCAUACUACCACAUAUAUUAUUCAUCCAAACAUAUUUGCUUAAGAUAAUAGGGAUCUAAAGGCUUACUGUUCAGCAUCAUUGUCUCCAUUAGCUGCAUCGCCCUUUUUGUGAGACUUCAGAGGGAAGGAGUCAACAAUUGAUUCAGGUGCGGGGAGUGAGACCAUGGAUAGGGAAAGUGAUCCAGGUUGCCGAUGGAUUUCAUCUAAAACCUGCAGAGGAAAAAUAUGCUGCCCUAUGUAAAUUGCUUUCGGCAUUUCAGUUCUCAUAAUCCAAUAGUAAAGUAUAGAACCAUUUUUGGCCAGAUAAUUAUACCUAAAGACGGAUAUCUCAGGUAACCAGAAAAUAAUAGGUUCAAAUCAAUUAUGAUUCAUCAUGGAAAACACUGUUCUUUAAGCUCAAAGCAUCUGUGUACCGAGCAUAAUAACACAUGCCUACCACCAUUCAUGACCUGAAGAGCCUUCAGUUACAGGAACUGGCUUCCAUUUAAGGUACUAUUUUUUUUUUGAAAGACAAACCAAGCUAGAUUUUACAUCUAAGUGAAUGAAAUGAAAUUAUUACACAAAAAAGUACUGCAGACAAUUGAAAAGGAGGGAUCUGGUUCAGAAUAUGAAGACCACCUUACAAGGGUGAGCCUGUGACUCUGAGUAUUAUGAUAUACCCAAUCAAGCUGUGGUGGGCAUGAUGACAAGAACUCAAACAUACUUUAAAAUACAGAACAUAAUAACAUUCUGAAUAAUUUGAUCAUAUUGGACAUUUCAUUAUAUUCAUUCUUAAUUUACCGAGUAGUGAGAGGUGCAACCCGCCCCCCUUUGAAAAGUCGCCAAUGCAAAGCUAGAUUGAAAUGAUGUACUUCUAAUAAAAUAAAAUAAAACACCAGAUGACACCCAAAUGCUACAAGACAUCUGCAGACCUACUGCAAGAGGAAUAAAGAACUGUUUUUCACUACAGAGAAACUGCACAAUAGAAGCAGUCCAAUAUUAGAUUGUCAAAGACCUAACUUUUAAUUAUGAAAUUCAAAAUUAGAUAAUCUCAAUCAUCAGGAAGUUAUGAUAUCGUAGAAAAGAGGCCAAAAAGAAGAAAAUCAAAUGCAUGAGAGCAUCCUGAAAUGCUCUUAUGCAGUAAGCACACUGCCCUAUCAACGGUAUCAGAUUGAACUGCCAAUCAGCAAGUACCAUGUUUAAACCAAACGCAGAAAUUUAGAGAUAAAAUUAAAAUUCAUAGAGCAGGAAACACAAGGGAUAAGGAUGGAUGGAAAACUCAAUUUAAUUAAAUCUAGGAGAAAAAAAAAAGACACUGGAGAGAAGGUUCAAACCUCAAACAGAGCCUCAGCCAGCAUGACUAUUCUUGAAAUGCUUGCUCGAGUGCUAGAUUCCUCAGCCAUUGGGAAAGACUCGCAUGAGCACAUACCAUCAGCAUGGAGUCCUAAUGGACAUGAAGAAUUCAACCGACCAAUCUCAUCAAGGCCACCACGAAGCCUUUCCCAAAUCUAUAUAAAGAAAUGUAAACAGCUUAUGUUACAUGAAAGGGAUCACAAGCCCAUUUAAUAAAUGCAAGUAGGUGACAUAAACAAUUUAAAGCAUUCUAUACUCCAAAUAUUCAGAAUCACCUCAGAUCUUGGGUGCCGCAUUCGUUCACUCGAUCUAUGAGUUCUACGACCAGGAUUUCCAGCAUCAUCCCCAACCCUAUCAUUUGGUAAAUCACCGCUAAAAUCAAUGAGCCAUCGAUCUUGAGAUCCUGUAUCAUCAGCACCUCCACUGGAGAAGACAAUGGUCGGAGAAUCACCAAGCCUUCCAGAGCUACGUCGUGAAAAAGCAUCCCAAAAUAAUCUUCUACCAUUUCUUCUGGAAUCAUGAUCAUUGGCAUCUGCAUUGCUUGCUGACAAAAUGUUGGAAGAUAUUGUGACCACGUCAACUUGAAUCACGCUAUCAUCUCCCUGCCCUGUUUCCCGAUUGGACACAAGAAAACCUAAACCUGAAGGUAUUGCCUCGCGAAGAGGUUCAUCUUCUGGCACUUGAGAAAUUGCCAUUAUAUUGGAAACUUGAGCAACAGGAUUGGAAGGAGCACUCUGGAUAGAUGUGAAUGCACCAGUGUGAUUCUCAACAGAAAUUUCAUCAGAACUGGUAUUUCCACGCUCUUGAGGGGUUGAACUCCUUGGAUACAUCGUGUCACGAGAGGUUUGACAGAUACCACUAAACACUGGAUCAUCAACAUUAUUGACUGCAUCCUUGUUAGCAGAAACACUUAUAGAAACUGGAUCUGAAGACUGAUGUUCAACAGAUGAAGUACUAGCUGUGUUGCUACUAUCACUAUAUGAUUCAUGACGACUAUUAUCGGCGCUUACCUGAUAAGGAGGAACUAGCUCCUGACGUUCAGACAAACACUUCCUCUGACUAUUUGCUGCAACAUUUCUGGAAGAACCUUCAACGGUUUUAUCACCACAGAACUCAACUCCCAUAUCAGAUGAGGUUGAAGUUUCAGCACGGGGACAAUAGCUAGUUCUAGCUUCUGUACAUGAUAAAGACGAUUCCUCAGAGGCUGCUUUCUGAAUUUCAUCAUCAAAAUCUCUUGCCGAACCAACCUGAAGCUCAGAUGGACGUUCUUCCAUCUAAAAACACAAUGUAAGAAUGUAAUUUCCUGUAUCAGUCACUCCCAGUAUCUAUUUAACGGCUAUCCAGCAUCCACAAAUUAUCGCUUGUGUGAGACCAGAUAAAAUGGCUUGUGGAUAAAUUUUCAAGUCAUACAUACUCAUGCAUUCAGUUUUCCUUGAAACAAUACUCAACAAGUUAAGAACAAAUACGAUUUUCCAAAUUCACCCUUGAAUAGAUGCUGAGAUGCAUAAACUUAUUAGGAUCAACAUGACUCUAAAACUUAAAGAAGUUCAUCAAAUCAUUGGAAAGUAAAGGAGUGCCAAUGAAGAAAAAAGUUAAAAUAAAAAAACUAGUAACGAGUGAAACUUUAAUCUUUCAAGACCGAAGAGACUUGAACCGUUCCAUGAAUCAAUCACCUAGUGAAUACAAUAAAAUAAUAAAACAAGCUAAAUCCAAAUUUGUGAUAAAGAAUUAUACCACACUACCACAGGCACCAGCAGAUAAUUUCAUAGAUUAGUUAGGCUCAUAUGCGUCAAACCGUAUUAAUCAACUAGCAAACUAUCAGAUUCCUAUGAUAAUCAAUAGAACCUACAAACUAUAAUUAUAUAACCAAGCUCACAAUAUUCUCACACAAUCAAUUUUUUUUUUCAAAUGAUGUAAUCAAUCAGCUAACAAAAAAGCCAAAUACUAUCAGUCUAUCACAAAAAUUGCUUUAUCUAUAUAAGUCAAGCACAAUUGAUUGGACUUUUAGCAAAUCAAUUUUAUACUUACAUCCCCAAAAACAAAAGCUACCCAAUUCAAAAGUAAAUCGAAUGGACCAACCCAGAUGAUAAAAAUCAAACUUUCGAAAUGAAAAAGCGUAAAAACGAAAUGGGUAUUAAGAAAAUCGGGUACCUGAGGAGUUGUAGAGCGGGAAGCGGAGGAUCCACAGAGAAGAGAGGAUAGUCUGAAGCGGUUGUUGUUGACCCGAGGAGGAGAAGAGCGAGACCCGAGACGACUAGAAGAAGAACCCAUGUCUAAGAGAAGAAGAUGAGAGGUACAGAAGAGCUAGCUAGCUUGGUAGUAGCAGCAGCAAGAUGUGGAUGGUUGCUUAUUCUUCGAUGAUGAUAAUCGAAAGCUGACCAACUUGGAGCUUUUCUUCAAUUUCAAUUAUUUCUCAACUUUCUUUCUUACACAUCAGGCAAAGCAAACACACUAUACUUUCGAGUGCCGAUCGCAGUGUUAAAAAUUGACUGUUUAUAUCUAGGUCGAAAGCUCAAUUUUUAGGUAUUACAUUUUCGAAAACGUUUGACUUUCACGACCGAAAUUAUGACAACAAUUUAAUAUACCAAAAAACAAGACACUUUAGGUUUAGGGUUAAUGGUUAAAUUAUUCUCUGAAUUUCUAAGGAUUUGAUUUUAGUCUUUUUUUAAGUAAAAAUAACGCUUCGUGACGGUAAAAAAUUGUCAAUAAUUAUAAAAGUGGCUGUCACUAAACGUAAGUUUUUCUUAGAAUGACUAAAAUUAAAUUUCCUUACAAAGUCAAUAACAAAAUCUAGGGUGAGUGAAUGUUGCCAUGAUUUAAGGUAGGAAAAACCUUUCAUAUGAAAUAAGUGUGGGCUUGAACCUAUCACUUGUAAGACAUGCGAUGUUAUCAUGCUCCACUUGAAAUGUGUUUUUUUUUUUUUUUGUCAUUUUUGUUUUCUUUUGCAUAAGGUUUUGAAUGUGGUGG